rnacentral:lncRNA from 1 species
AAAAAAAAAAAAAAGUGGGACAGAAAAAAGAGGAAAAUGAAAAGAGAAGCAAUUAAUCAAAGGGUGUAUUAUUCCAUCCUCCAUUUCACAUAAAACAAGGAAAAAGCCAUAAAAUGAGUAACCACAAAAGUCCACAAAAGUCUCUGCCAAACUUCAUUCUCACCCCAUAUAUAUGUAUAAAUAUAGGUCCCUCCCUACCUUUAGUUGUCCUUUAAUUAUCUUCUCCAAAGCCUCCUUCCCUAUCACCAUUGCCCCCCCUCCCCCAGCUCCAUUUCCUAUCACACUUUAACAUGAUAUCAGAGCAGACAGAGGUCUUGAGAUCGAGUCUCGCCACCAUCCAUAUAAGACGAUCACACACUUUAACAUAUGCCAUAUUAGAAAUCAAUCAAAAUUUCGAUAGACGUUCUAUCAUAAAAUUGCUCGUCGAAGAUGUUUUUAAUGAAUUUUUAAUCAAAAAUCCAACACGCAUAUGUCUAUCAAAAUUUAACUGAUUUCCGAUAAAUUCCAACAAAUAUUUCGAAAGAAAAUAUUAUAUAGUAUCUAUUUAUUAGUUUUUAAAGAUUUGAAUUCAUCAAGUCUAAAUUCUGAAUCGACUUUUAUACAUUCUACUACUCCACCCCACAUAUUGGAAUAAUACCAUACAUGUCAAUAUAUGCACAUAUAUUUGGCUAGUCACUUUUUCUCUCCCAAAACCCUAAUAUAUCCCAUGCACAUGUCUACAGCAUGGGCAGACACAUGAAAAUGGACCCCUUCUUGUCUUUGCUCACGUGUGAGUGUGAGAUUAAUUUGUGUCUACACAUUGUAUAAUAAUGUAUACCAUGAUAAAUGAUUGUGUGUGUAUAUAUAUCGACAUAUAUAGUACUCCAUAUAAUAUGCAUGGUAAGUGACUUCAUUAUAAUGUAAAAAUUGUUAAUAUAAGUUUAUGUAAUUGUUACAUUUGAUGUCCUAUAUGUGUGUUUGUAAAUUGUAAUGAUACACUACUAUAUCAAUCAUUUGGACAUGUUGAGCAUUUUUAUAUGAGAAAUUUUGAUGCUGCAAAAUUUGUAUUAUGCAAUAAUCAUUAAGAAAGAAAGAAAAUUACACAUAUAAUUUUGCUUAUAAGAAAUUUAUAAAGGGAUAAGUCGACGUGGAAUGAUUAUUAUAACUAGUCCAUGCGCAUUUCACUUGUCGUAUCACAUUGAUUAUUAACUUGACUAUAUAUAUACUAAUUAAUAAUAAUUUUACACAAAUCACAUAGUGUUAAGAGUAAAUUACAUUUUAUUCCUACUUUUUUUUCAAAUUACAAAAAUUCCUUAAAUUUGGUGGAAUCCGGAUACAUCUUGAUACAUCACUCAAUGUCUCGAUACAUCGCGUCUCGAUUGCAAAUACAUCACUCGAAGUCCUGAUACAUCGCGUAAAUUGAUGUAUCCGAGAAUAGAAGAGAGUAAAGAUUUUUAUAAUUUUUUCAAAUGGUACAAACUUUUUAAACCAAAAUAGGAUUAAUUACAGAAAUCCACCUUUUAAUUUACUUAUUACCAUUAUCCCCUAUAAGUUUUACAAAUCUCCAAAAUCCCUCAUUUUCACGCACCAGAUUAGUGUAUCUCGCGCAUCAGAUUAUGUAUCAUGUAUAAAAUGUACAUCAGAUUAGUGUAUCAUGUAUAAAAUGUAAUAUAUCUUACUUAACGAUUAAUGUAUCUCGCGCAUCAGAUUAAUGUAUCAACGCUUAUAUUAUUGUAUCCAUUUGAGGGAUUUCUGUAAUUAUAAACGUUUAAGGGAUAGAUUGAAAUUUUGCCUUAAAAAUAUGUGAUUUCUGUAAUUGCCGUAAAAAAUAUAAUAAAAUAAGUUAUGUAUGUGGGUAAUUUUCCAUAUAUAUUAUCACCUAAAGUGGCUAAAUAUAUAUAUAUAUAUAUAUAUGAAAAGUGUAUAUGUUUUUGGAAAUUAUUCCCUUCCACCCUCCCCCACCAAUAGUAACAAGUCAUUAUUAUAGCAUUAAAAUGAAGACGUUAACAUUUUUUUUUUCAUCUACCUCAUGUCAAUUAUAUUUCAAAUGAAGAAAAGUGACAAAAUUAGACUAUGAAAAUAUGACUCGUUCAAUUUAUUUAAAUUUGUGCGGAUUAAUUAUUAUCCAUUUCAACAUGUUCAAAUUCAAGUGAUAACACUAUUCUAUAGGCAGAAUCAAGUUAGAUAUAUAUCAAGUCUGCUCAAUACUCUUAACGGUGAUCAACUCAAGCUAAUCUAAAUAACGUAGCAUAUCAAUUUCAAUUUACACAUGUCAUUUUUGCAUAGGAUCAUGAUAAUCUUCCCUGUAUCGCGUUCAAUGAAAUAUGUACGAUCGAUUACAUCAAAUUGAUUCAUAUAUUAAAUGAACAAAAACGAGACAACAAAAAGGGCAGAAGAACAUGAUAUAUUAGCUGGCUAAGAACAUAAUAAUUUUGUCCAAAACAAAGUAUUAUGGUGAGAGGGCCACAAAUGUCUCCAACUAUAAGAAAAACACUACGAAUAACAAUUUCCUUAAUAAUCAAAUAGUACUAAAUAUUAUAUUAUUUCUAAAGGGAAAAAAAUAUCAAAGUUUGAGACAAACAAUAGUGGAAUAAAGGGAUACAACAAAUGGAGGUGUUUUAAUUUUCUGGCUUUCUUGCUGGCUAUCAUAUCUUGUAAACUUAGAUUGAUUAGUUCCCUCUAUGUUGACAAGCAAAUCAAACUAACAUUAUGUUUGGUUUUUUCAUGCAUGUAGCUAAGGUACGACGUGAUAGAAACACACAUGUAUGUUGCUUUUGCAAUUGAGUAUUAUAACUGUGACAUGUUCUGAUCAAUCAAAUAUAUAUUUAUCGCCUAGCUCCAUAUGAUUGACAAAUGGUUAUAUAGAAUCUUAGUAGCUAAUUAGUUGGGUGGUUACUUGAACUUAUUUCACUGUGAGUGUUCGGGGGAUGUAUUUAAGUUUAGUUAGUCAAGUAGAGGAGUGUUUUUUAGGCUGUCAAUAGUUCGAGGACGAAACUAACAAUUCACGGCCAAGUUCAGAGGUGUUUUCAAUACUUCUGUCAAAAUAAAUUGAUGGAUGGUUCAAGUCGACUAAUCAAAAUAAUAUUUUUACCCACUCUAACAUUCCCUGGGCCCAACUAGAGUGUAGACCGGGAGCCAAGGAGACCACUAGUCCAUUCAUCAACCAAUGAUAUCAUGUAAAAACAUGACACCUCAGUCUAACUCAAUCCCAAAAGUUAGCUCAUGAGAUGAGGAUUGCUCAAGUCCAUAUAAGGAGACCACUAAUCUAUUUCCCAACCAAUGUGGGACUUUACCCACUCUAACAUAAAAUAUGCUUUCAUAGUGAAUUUACGUAGAUGGUCUUUAUGGAAUAUUAUUAUACUUUAUAAUUUAAGUUAAUAACGUCUAUUUCUUUGAAAAAUAUUGCACAUCGAAUAUGGAUGGUAUAAUAUAUAGUUUGACCUCAUGGAAAUAAUUGAAAAUUGUUAGUAAGUCAUAGAUUUGUUUUUUUUUUUGUGAUAACACAUAAGCUUAAAACUAAAAUACAUACCAAAGAUUUUAUCUUCAAAUUGUUUUAGGUCUUGGGCAAGGAAAAAGAAAGCCUAACAAAUUAAAUUAUAUACAGUAAUGUCAAUUUAAUUGGAACUAUUUUGGUCAAUGAUGAUAAUAAAAUCUUGAAUUUUCAAACUUUUCUUUCAUUUUCAAAGCAACUAUCUAGGUGUAAUAAUAUUGACUCAAAUUAAAUUGCUAGAGUAAAAUAUAUCAUUAGAAUGUUUUAUUAGUAUUUACUGUUAAAAAAAUCUUUGAAAUUGUUCUUUGACUAGAAAAUUAUAUAUAAAGACAAAUUGAGGUGCCUAAAUUCUUAGAUUUUAAUAAUUUUAACGAACUUUUGAAAAUUGUUGGUGAUAUAGGGUCCCAUUUCUAAAAUUGAUCAAAUGAUGUAUGAUUAAACACUUCUAAAUUUAGAAAUAAGAAUUAAGAUUGACAGUAACAAAAAAAAAAAUGAUUACAUUAACUUUUUUUUUUUGCUUCUUUGAAUAACAUGUUCUCAUUUUAUGAUUAGAUUGUAGAAAAUAUUCUUAUACGCAAGCAUUUUCAUAUUGAUAUGACCAAAUAGACUUAGAUACUUUGUAUCGUUCUCUAUCUUUCAAGACAUAAGUACGAAGAAAAACACAUCAAAAAAGAAAAAGAAAACUACGAUAUGAAUUUCUUGAUUUUCUAUUUAUUAAAAAGAAAUUAUAUGACUAAAUAUAGGUUGUCCAUUGAUACUAACAAAUUAGAUGACGAUGAAGUUAUAAGUUCUUUAUUCUUAACUAAAAUCUUCUGAUUCAAGUCUUCAAUAUGAAUAUUGUCUUUGUUAGAAAGCUUUUGCUUCGAUAUAAAACUUUUUAUCGAGAAUCUCAAUUUAACAACCCCAAUACAAAUAUCAGACUAAUGAAAUACCAAAGGAAAAAAGGUUAAUACUAAAAUUUAAAAGGAAUGAAUGUGCCCUUUCCACUUGUUGAAGUUAGAUUGAAUGGUAUGUCUCUUACUUUUUUUUUUAAUUAUUCUUUUAGUAAAAAAAAAAAAAGUCAUCUUGGUGGCUAAUUUUUAAAGAGUUUAUUUAUUUUUUUCAAAAAAAGAAAAGAAAUAAUUUAUAGAGAAAAAGGACAAAAGUGCAAUAUUUAGAAAAUUGAAGACAGUGCUUCUCCAUUUGGGGAAAGAGCUUUUGCCUUUUGGUUUCACCAAAAUAUUAUACUAUUAACUAGGAAAAAAAUAAGAGCUUAGUAUUAAGUAAAAUUUGGGAUAUCACUUAUCGAGACCACAAUAUCUUUAUUUUUUAUGUCAAAGAAAAUCCUGUUUUGAUCUAAUCUUGAUAACACCAACAAAGUAAAAAGUGAUUUUUUUUUAUAAAUAGACUAAUCGAGAUUUUCAACACCUUAAAUUUAUUAAAAGGGAAGCAAUUUCAAUAAAAAAAGAGUCAUUCCUAAAGUAGACGGGUAAAGACACGACAUCAUCAAAAUUAAACUUCAACCAUUAUUUUUUAUGACGCCUAUCAUAGUAAAUUCACAUUAAUCUAAGUUAAUUGUGUGCUCGUAACAACACUUGAGAGGCUAAUAUACAUUUUACGAUAUCACUAAAAUUAAAUACGAUAUAGGAGAACAAUAACACACGAUAUGCAUGAUAUAAUCUAAUUAAGGGUGAAAGAAUUUUAUCGAGUUCGAUUCAUAGGAGAACAAUUGGCGGGUGAUAAAGAGACGUUUUUGUUACCUACUCCCUACAACCCACGUUCUCUAUCCUUUUCAAGCCACUAAUUUUUUGAUUAUUUUUUUACCGCCGUAAUUUAUGGUAAAAGAUUAAAUCAUAAUCUCAUAGGGCUACGGUAAAAAAAUAAAAAAAUUGUAGAGUAAAUCGAAGUGUUUGGGAAAAAAUAAUGCAAAAAAAGUAGUGCAUGUGCCCCCUAAUAAUAGGACAACGUAAUAUCAACGUCUUUUAGAUUGAGAAGAAUGUUGUGCUACGUGACAUUUCUUUCUUGAAAUUUAAACAAUCUCAAUCUACUACUAUUCACAACUUUCAUGAGGGAUAAGGUAAUCAAGCGGUCGUGGCGGAGUUGGUGUAAUACGUGAUAUUCCAUAAGAAAGGUCAAGAAUUUGAUUUUCUUUGUCAAUGUCUUUUUAGUCAUAUUCAUUGCAUUGGACGGUUUACAUCACUUAUAUAGUAUGCGAGUUGUUGUAUAGGAAUGAGUUUACUCAGUACACACCUGAGGAAUAACAAUUGUGGAUUUUAAAAAUAAGAUAAAAGUAUUGAAAACACCUUUAAACUUGACGUAAAUUAUUAGUUUCGUCCUCGAACUAUCAACAACCUUAAAAAUAUCCCUCUAGUUGAUUUACUGAACUGUAGUACACCCUGAUCUUGUCACAUGAGUGAAAUACACUUUUAAAUUCUCAUCAAACUUAGAGGUGUUUUCAACAAUUCUCUCGAUUUUUUUAUUAAGAGCCACACACUCCUACAAGAGUUUGAGACCACUUGUUAUGCUAUGUGACAGAUCAUGGUGUAUUUAAAUUCAGUUAAUCAAGUAAAAAAGUGUUUAUGUUUAUCAAAUAGAGAUAAAUAUUUAGAUGUGCGUAAGUUGUUGGAUGAUGUUAAUAUUAUGCCUUAAGCGGCCUAUAUUUAUUUAUUUCUUUCUUUCUCUAUCAACUUUGUGUAAAGAUAGAGCAUCAAAAUGUAAUUAGCAUGCUAGUUUAUUACACCUAGCUAGCUAAUGACAUAAUUAAAGACACCAUAGCUUAAGAGCUAAUGAACUAUUUUGAGUUGAAUAUGACUUUUUCAACAUUUCAACAUUAUGAAAAUGAAAAAAGUAAGACAGCUUUUGAGGUGAUAUGUUCAUUGUAUUACAACCCAUGCUUGGGUUAGUAGGGUAGGAUUAUGGGCACAUCGAUCAGUAUCAUCAUCCUGUUCAUUAUUUUUCAUCUUUUCUUUUUAAUUUCUCAUUCGAUGUUCAGUAUUCAGAUUCUGUGAUUCUAUUCUAUUUUAUACAGAUAUAAGGUCUACUAAUAGAGAAAACACUCUCUAGUCUCUACUAGUUUUUUUUUUUUUUCAUUUUUAAAAUUUCAGUAUUGAAGUUGAGUCAAAAUUUUAACGAAGAAAUAUGAUUUUAAGUGUUAAUAACUAAGUUCGAGCAAGCUUGUAUCCAUUGUAGUUUCGUUUCUCCAAUGUCAUUUUCCCUUUUUCAUACUUAUUUUGAUAUGUUGUACUCGAAUCAAGGGUUCUUCGAAAUCAGUUUGUUACCUCUACGAGGUAGGAUAUGAUGCGUACACUCUAUCCUUCUUAGACUCUACUUGUGAAAUUUCAUAUAUGUUGUUGAGCAAGCCCGAAUCUAAACUUCUCCUUACACACAUAUCUCUAAUAACAUAUAAAGAAUCAUAUUCAUCCCAUCAUAACCUUCGUAUUCACAAUCAUUGUCUCGACAAUAUAGAGAUCAAAAGCACUUUUGACUCAUGCAGCUUUGUGCUCUCUUUUCUUUUUCUCUUUGUAUAUGAGUUAUAUCACGUUGCUCUCAAUUAAAGCCCCCACACUUAAAGUGCUUUGUGCCCAAUUUUUUUUUAAAAAGUUGCAAAUUGCAAAGAUCCAUUGUAGCCUUAGUAGGGAAAAUAAAAUAAAAUUUACUUUCAAAGAUCCACCCAAUGUUUCCCCUUUUUUCCUUUUUUAUAAACAACAACUCUUUUAGCAUCUAAUGCUACUUUUUUCUUUUGAGGUGAAAAUUCUAACUUUGAAUGUGAGAUGUCUCUCUUUUUUAUGAAUACAUCAUUUUCGAAAUAUGAAAUCUUUUUUUUAACACAACACGACAAAAAAAUAGUCAGACGUUCAUACUGAGUCCAAAAGAUCAUGCCCCUAAAGGAUAAUAUAAACAGUCUAUUGAUUUCACUACUGGAACAUGUAACAUGAGAUCUUUUGAAUAAUAGUCUUAAGAAUCUAAAGUAAUUUACAAUGGAAGUAAACAACUAGCAAACCAAACUAUUACAAUUAAUAACCUUAGUAAAUAAAUAAAUACACACGGUACGAUUGGUUAAUUAAACAAAAAAGGUACUAAAAAUCUAACAUUGAAAAGUCAAAAUCAAUUUGAAUUUCUACUAAUUGACAAAUUUUUUUCUUUUCAAAUUGAUAAUUCACACGCGUAAUGAUUAUGGGAAAGAAAAUAUAGACUAUAGAUUAUAAUUAAUCAUCCCUUUUGCUUCCAUGUUUUGCUCCUUCUUGUCUCCUCUUUUCUAAAUUUUGCAACAUUUUUGAUGUUUUUUUUUCUUCAAAUGGAGGCCUUCAAAAACUAAUUUAAGUCAAAUUUCUUGUCCUAAUGCUCCAAAUAUCUGGGAAUUUUCAUGAGUAAUUUUAAUUAAUUCUCAUCCCAUGAAUUAAUUAAACCAUUAAUGAUUCCCACUAUUGUUUUCCUCCUUUCUUCACUUGACAUAUAUUCUUAUAAUCCAAGAAUAAUGUAGUACACUAAUGUGAUUGGCAACGCUAUCAACAUCCCGAAAAUAACCCUGAAAUACGAAGAAAAAAAAUCAUAAAUUAUUGCACGAUUAUAUAUGUUGUAGUGUAAUUUAACUGAUUAUAACAUAUCGAGAAAUAAUUUUACUUACGCAGUACUAAGAAUAGCUGGAUGAACAUUGUACUCCUUAGCAAACACAAAUGGGACAAUCCCUUGUGGCAAUGCAGCCUAAAAAUAUAAAAUAACAAUUUAAAAAAAAUUCAAUAUAUCAAAUUAUUAAAAAUAAAUAAAAAUUGAACCAGCAAUUUUAAUGCAACAUUUAAUGAAGUAGAUUAUAAAUUUGUCAUUUCAUGGCCACCAAAAACUAUAUAUUAAAAAAAAAUGGCUAUAUGAAUAAUUUAUUUACCUGUACAAUGGCUACAUGAAGAAGAGUACCACGAAGGCCAACAGCAAUUGAAGCAGCAGCCAUAACUGCUGGGCCAGUUAGAAACCUUACAGCCAUUGCAAAUGUAGCCACUGUGUUACCACAUGCAAUGAUUUUUGGUUGAAGAGCCAUAAACAAACCUACACAUAAAUUCAUCGUGACUCGUGAGUUUAACUUAACUCGUUACUUUCAACUUUAAUUAUAUAUAUAAAUGAAACAACCCAAGUUCAAGUCAUGUGUUUUUUCAAUUCACAGACUAAUUAAAAUUCUGAAUCCGCCUCUAUUGUAUUUAGAUAGCUAUUGAAACUUCUUUCAUAAAAUUUCAACUACUAGUAACCAAACCAAUGAUUAAGUCAAGUAAGGACCCCACGAAGACUAUGAUUUUGAUAAUAUAACUACCCUAUUAAUACUACCAUUGGAUUUUGAUGGUCAAAAUUGUAAAACUUAACGUACUAGAAAUGGUUAGUAUAUGAAAGAGAAAGCAAGGUACAAUAUAUAGUUGAAAAAUAUAAAUGUUUUAAAUGUUUGAUAAUGCUAGCUUCAAGAAUUCGUAUUACGUAACUAUAGUUCAAUUCGAUAAAAUUCUUGAUGAUAAGAAUAAUUUAUUCAGAACUCGAUAUGAUUUACUUACCCAAGCUAAACAUAGCCAUUCCAAGGCCAGCAUCAGAGAGAAUGGAGAUUGACUUCUCUAUAAUUUUGGGCAUAUGCACAUGCCAUCUAAAAAAACAAACAAACAAACAAAACAACUAAUUAAUUGAUGGACAAAUUUUAAACUUUUACCUACUAAAAAACUAAAAAUGUUUGAGAAAGUUAAGAAAGUAAUUAGUUUUUUAAAUCCAUAAUUAGCUUUACCUGAAUGAGAUUAGAGACCAGAUCAGACCAAUGAGGCUCGAAUACGUGUUUGGGUUACGAAUAAGCUUACGCCAAACCAUGAUUAAGAUCAAACGAGUCAUAACACUUGCUGGAGGCAUCUGUUUUCCCAUACCAGCAUCUUGUCCUCCAGCGAGUUUGGGGUGUAGCUCCGAUGUGGAGCUAGACCCCAGUUUAGUCAGUCCAGUGGGUCCCUCUUUUUCGCCUUUUUCUUCAUCGCCAUCUUUUCCACCACCAUUGGCACCUCCAAAAGUGAAAUCCUCACCACCAAAUUCCCCUGUUUGCGGAAUGGCUUCAAAUAUAAAAUUGUUUAAGCAUAUAUUAAAAUAAUAUUAAGACACACCCCGUCUAGCGGAUUUACUUCUUUUUAAAAAAAAUAUAUAUUUAAAUAGUUUAUAUUCCGAGUUAAUUAGUAAACAAAAUAAAGAAAAUUGUACCUUUACUAUCUCCAUUUUGAGUAUGAUCAGAAACCAACAUCCGAAUUUCUUUGGCUCCAUCGGAUCGACCCGAUUGUUCGUUGGCACUGAAAUCAUUGCCACCGAACACGUGGAGGCCACCGGCCUCCGACACCGGAGAAUUACUAGAGCUCCAUACAAACAUAUGAAGUUCCUUAGCAUCAUGAUUAUUAGCUUUAGCAUUUGGCUGUUGUUGCUGUUGCUGCUGUUGUUGUUGUACUUCCUGCUUCUGUGUUUGUACAUUUGGUUGCUGAGGUUUUGUGCUUUUAGGCACUGCGGAAGAAAUUUCGGGGUUCGGGGCAGGAUAAGAUCCCGGCGCAGGCUGCUGCGCGGGGAAAUACCCAAACCUCGGAGAGCUCUGAACUAGACCUCCCGGAGCACAGUUUUCUUCGAAAUUAGACGGUCUCGGAGUCGGACCCCGAGACGACUGUACAGAGUACAUAUCUGCAGGACCAAAAUUGGAUAAUCUUCCUCCAGGAAAACCCAUCAUAGAGUAAAAAUCGUUAUGAUUAAAAUUAGACCCUCGAGGAGUCGGAUUCCUCGAAGAACUAAGACUGUAAAUCUCAGCUCCGGUGAGAUUCGACGGCCGAUGGUCCAUAGCAAACGACCUCCGGGACGCAUUUGAUUUUCUCACAGUAACAUGAAGUUUACCAUCUUGACCAAUUUCAGCGUCUGUUUCGAGAAAAUCAUGUCCAUCUAGAGAUACAACAUCAGAUUCCACUUUAAACGAAACAAUUGAAGCAGCAGUUUCUGGAAAUUGCUCCAUUAUAAGCAUUUUCGCACCGCGAUAUUCGAACAAAAAGAGCAAAAGUGUGUACCAAAUAAUGCACUGCAACACCACUACUUGUACCAUGAGACUACCAGAGUACUCACCAUACAUAGCAAUUAACAAAGGAAUACCCAUCACCAAUGUAUUCGGCAGUGUUGAAAGAGAAAAAAUUGUAAUACUCCAUUCAAGGCUACCAUUUUUAGUUAAAUUAGCCCAUAGCGAAAGAACAACAAGCAUAAUUACUUUCUGCAGUGAAUCCGCCGCAAUGAAACGGAAAUUCAUUUCAUAUGGAUUAUUCAUAGCUAUGAAAUGAAAAGACAACAAAGGAACUGCAAAAAUGGCUACGAAUCUGUUGAUCCCAGAACAUUGAUCGGGAGAGAAGAUUUUCCACCAUCGAACAGAACCAUAAGCUAAUAUCAUAGCAACAUAGAGAGGAACAACUGCUGUUAACACAACAUACAGAUCGUGCCAAGUGAUCAUUUUCGCAAAAAAAAUUGUCAAAUCGAAGAAGAAAAAACCGUUAUUUAACUGCAGCACUGUGUAUAUUGCAGUUGAUUCUGCAGUACUGGUGCAGAAGAAUUCUGCAGCAAAUUGCAGAGAGAGAUUAAAAAGGACUGAUGAGAAAUUAAAGUGUGUGUUUUUUUCUUUUCUUUGGUGGAAGAGGAAAGAAGAAAAAGGAGUGAAAUUACAUGAAGGUGUAAAAUGUGGAAGAAUUAUAUAUAGAGAAGAGAGAUGAGGGUACCAAUGGGUCAUCCGAACCCUCUUCGAUAAAAAAAAAAUAGCUAACUUACGUAAAUUUCAUUAUUUUAGAAUCUAAUUACUUAAAUUUACGUUAAUUUGUAAUAUGAUAAUUCUUUAUCAUAUUUUGGGUCUAAAAUAUAUGUAUCUUGUACUAAUAAUUAGUGUGUCCAAUUAAUGGACAUAAUUGAAAGUCAUUAAUUAAGAAGUGUGUUUAAUUAAGAGAUAUGACUGAAAGUGUCAUUAAUUAAGAAAAAAUUCACAUUUGCACGAACUAUUAUUCAAAUACAUGCAUAUAUUUUGUCAGAUACAUAUACAUUUAAUCAAAUAUACUGAUAAAAAAACUAGAUAGAUAUAAUCUUAACUCAAUAGUGUGUCGGAUACAUCAAUAAUGUGUCAGAUACAUGCGUAAAUCUCCAAUAAGUGUGUAUGUUUAUUAAUAUACAGAUACACUUAAUGAGAUACACUGAUAAAAAAUGUAUACAUAUAAUCUUAACUCAAUAAUAUGUCAAAUACAUCAAUAAUGUGUUAGAUACAUCAAUAAUUCCAAUCCGAUCUAAAAAGUCUCUUUUCUUCUUCCUUGUUAAGGUUUAUCACGCAUAAACUCUCUUAUUUGCAACAAAUUACAUACUAUCUUUCUCUUUUGUUCGUCAAAUUUGUUGCAUUUUUGGAUUUCCAAAUUUAAGAGGCUAAAAAUAUCUGAUGUAUCUUUAAUAAUAUAUAGCAUAAAAUAUUAAAACUAGUAAUAUAUGUAAUUAUUUGAAAGUAGAGAUAAAUUUAGUAUAGGUCAUGUAUGUCUAAUAAGGUAGCUUAUCCUAAAAAAUUAUAUAACAUAUGUGGUAUUUUUAAAAAUUGUUUUUAUGUAUUUAUAUAAAUUUGAACUCGUGAAUAUAAGAUUAGAGAUUGAUUUAAUGAUUGAGAAAUUCAAAAUUUAGCUUGCAAUUCCAAGUUUAAAUCUUACACAGUUUAUUUUUAUUUCUCAAAUCCACUUAGUGAAUAUUCUGAAUCCGCUGAUAAAUGGAGUGAUUGAACUUGGAACUUUGGCAACUUAUAUUUUAAGAGAAAAAAAUGAGUUUUUUUGGGGACCAGUUGAAUUUUUUAAGAUGGGAUAUUGAUAAAGAAAGAAGUUAAGAAAAAAGGGGUUCAAUUUUCUUUUGCUGUCGGGUGGNNNNNNNNNNNNNNNNNNNNNNNNNNNNNNNNNNNNNNNNNNNNNNNNNNNNNNNNNNNNNNNNNNNNNNNNNNNNNNNNNNNNNNNNNNNNNNNNNNNNNNNNNNNNNNNNNNNNNNNNNNNNNNNNNNNNNNNNNNNNNNNNNNNNNNNNNNNNNNNNNNNNNNNNNNNNNNNNNNNNNNNNNNNNNNNNNNNNNNNNNNNNNNNNNNNNNNNNNNNNNNNNNNNNNNNNNNNNNNNNNNNNNNNNNNNNNNNNNNNNNNNNNNNNNNNNNNNNNNNNNNNNNNNNNNNNNNNNNNNNNNNNNNNNNNNNNNNNNNNNNNNNNNNNNNNNNNNNNNNNNNNNNNNNNNNNNNNNNNNNNNNNNNNNNNNNNNNNNNNNNNNNNNNNNNNNNNNNNNNNNNNNNNNNNNNNNNNNNNNNNNNNNNNNNNNNNNNNNNNNNNNNNNNNNNNNNNNNNNNNNNNNNNNNNNNNNNNNNNNNNNNNNNNNNNNNNNNNNNNNNNNNNNNNNNNNNNNNNNNNNNNNNNNNNNNNNNNNNNNNNNNNNNNNNNNNNNNNNNNNNNNNNNNNNNNNNNNNNNNNNNNNNNNNNNNNNNNNNNNNNNNNNNNNNNNNNNNNNNNNNNNNNNNNNNNNNNNNNNNNNNNNNNNNNNNNNNNNNNNNNNNNNNNNNNNNNNNNNNNNNNNNNNNNNNNNNNNNNNNNNNNNNNNNNNNNNNNNNNNNNNNNNNNNNNNNNNNNNNNNNNNNNNNNNNNNNNNNNNNNNNNNNNNNNNNNNNNNNNNNNNNNNNNNNNNNNNNNNNNNNNNNNNNNNNNNNNNNNNNNNNNNNNNNNNNNNNNNNNNNNNNNNGGGUGGGGGGGGUGUGAGUUGGUUACAAGGUGACCACAUAGUGUGGUUAGAUUAAAGGGACAAUAUGAGAUAUCGAAGUUUCGACUAAUCUAAAUUAACACAUAUUAUGUUAAACCCAUCAAAGAAGAAUCACUUCACAUAAUUUUCUUUUCGUAAUUAAAAUUUGAAUUCAAAAUAUUUUAUUAAAGAUGAAAGGAUCGUAUUCAUGUGAAGCGGACCAUUUGCAUGUAAUAUAGUAACGUGGCUAGUAUUUGAUGGGCCUGGGUUUUGUGAGGACGUGGACAACUUUUCUUCUCUAUAUUUUGUUUUCUUUUUACAUUUUCUUUUUGUGUUGUGUAAGAAAAUUUUAUUUGAAGUAUCAUUAUUAAGAUUAUAAAUAGUAAUUUAGACUUUUCAUUUAAAUUAACUACUUGUAAAAAAAGUAGAUAAUCGAACCUUAUACCAUAGACAAAUGAAUUUUAAACUUUCGGUCAGAACAUAAUUAUUAUAUUCCUCUGUAUAAGGAUGUAAUAAACUAGCUAUUUAUUUUAUUUUAUUUAUUUUUGUCAAAAAGUUUCCUAUGUUUUAAAGAUUAAAAAUUUCUGCCAAAGUGAAAAAAAGAUGCAGGUUCUCAAGCUGCAAUUUUUUAUUAAAUAAAGUUAGAUGAAAAUGACAUUGGUUCUUGUUCAUGAACAUGUUAUACUACUUUUUCUUUUUUGAAUUUGUAUCCAUAGUUUGAUAUUCACAUUGAUAACGGUUGAAUUUAAAAUGUAUGGAUGAAAAAUAAAGAGUUGUGACUUUUAUGAAGAGUUGUGACUUUAAUAAAAGGUUGUGAUUUUUAUGAAAAAUUAUGACUUUUAAGAAGAGUUGUGAUUUUAAUGAAAAAUUGCGACUUUUAUGAAAAGUUGUGACUUUAAUGAAAAGUUGCGACUUUUAUGAAGAGUUGUGACCUUUAUGAGAGGUUGUGACCUUUCCGAAGGAUUGUGACUUUUCCAAAGGAUUGUGAUCUUUCCAAUAAUGCACAAUAAACAUUUGUUCACACUACUCUUUGUUGGUCAUAAAUACAUGGAUUUCCUUUUAUUUUUCAACAAUAAAUUUUUGGACUUCUUCUUCUACUACUAAAUCUAGUAUUCUAAAUAUAUUUUAUUUCCGUUGAGUGUUUAGUUGACACUGGAUUUUUUAGGUACCGAUACACCGGUGAGUAAGAUUGUUCUAUCCUAGGAGGAUAUAUUCCAUUAACCUCGGAUACUUGAGGGGAAUAAUUUUCUUAAGGACACAAUGUGCAUUUAGUGGGCUCGAUUUUCUUCUUUGAGAAAAAUAUUUUGUAUAUUAUUUCUAAUUUGUUUCGGAUUCUAUUUUCUUUAUUGGUUUUAAGUUUCUAGUUUUGAAAAUAUUCUUUAAACUUUGUUGUUUCUUACCAAGUUCUUCAAAGUUCUUGUUUUAAGUAUCUUAAGAAUAUAGGUUGAACAACAACUAAAUCUAUGUCCCUAUUUACAUCCAUUUUUAGAGGAUGAUACUCUCGAUAUAACUUUUUUCAUUUUCAGAAACUUGAUUAAUCUGAAACCUCUAAUUAAAAGUGAAGAGAUUUCGAGAACCAUUCCACUCCAACACACUAUGUACGUAACAUGUUACUACUUAUUCACUAAUUAGAAUCUAUAUCUAUAUUGAUACUAAAACAUAUUUUAACGACAGAAUCAUGAGUUUCAUUAUUCGACUCUAAACUAAAUUAAAAACACUCAGCUAUAGGAUGGUACAAUCAUUCACUCCAGAUGGGUAAGUUCCAUACCGACAAGACCUUCUAUUCCAGAAUUCGUUCAUUUCACACCAACUAAAGUGAAACUUAAUCACCAAAAUAGAGUUGUAUAAAAUCUUAAUAUAGCCGAACGAAGUGAAAAACCUGUAAUAUAGAAGCAAAACACUUUGUUUGUAAGAAGAAAAAGUAUUAAUUAAUUUAAUUUCUUCACUUUCAUAAAAUGUACGUAACUUAAUCAUAUUUACCCUCCUUAAUUAAAACUAUUAAUCCCAUUGUGUGUUGAACUCUUUAAUUUAACAAAACCUUUAUUUAGAAAAAGAAAACAAUAGCCAAUAAUACUCAAAUGUUUAGUCAAAAUCUAGAAUUGAAAAGGUGUAUUUAAAUUAAUUUCUUCUUUAUAUACUUUUGGGAUUAAUUAUAACAUUUCACGUGCUAUAGUUUUAGGUGAAUCUUGGUCUGUGUCCGUGACCUUUCUUAGGUCCAAUAAUAUCUUAUAAUUUCCCUAAAAUUAUAAAAUCUUAUAUACUGUAUUUCAACUAAGACAGAUUUUGUAAUUUGGUUUGACCAAAAUUUAAAAAAGAUUUUUCAUUUAAAGCCCAAUAUUUUCUCAAAGAUAAAGAGCUAAAAUCAAUAAUAUUGUCCAUAUAUAUAUAUAUAUUCCUAUCUCUUUAGUAAUCAAAUAAGAACAUAACUUGCCUAAUAUGCAACUGUUUAUAAACAGUAUCUUGAUAUAAUAUUCCAAUAUCCUCGGGUUUAUGUUGUUUUCUCAUAAAAUUGACAUAAUUGUAUGUACACAUUAAUAUUAUUAUGCCCCAAAAGCAUAUAAUAUAUUAUACAUUCAAUGGUUAGGUACAAAAAAAUCUAUAGUAUAUGUUGAAUAGACGAGAAUAUUAGACGUGACAAAUGAGUCAGACCGUAUUAAACCAAUUACGCCUAAUACUCAGGAACAAGAUCGGUAAGCAUAAAGAUAAAUAGAGUGAGUCACACACCUCAGAGAAAAAUAUAUUGGGAUAAAUAGCUAAUUUCGAAAUCAUAAGAUAAUAGAGUAAGUUUUACUAUUUCAUAUCCAUACAUUAUAACACAUAAUAACCAUCAUUGUAUAUUUGCAUUGUAAUUAAUAAUAUACAUAUAUAAUACUAUGGUACAAUAUUGUUUGCUAGAAUUUAGUUAAUGUUAUCAUUAUAUGUUUGUCUCUUAAGGAGAGUAAAGAAUGAUUUGACAUAUGAAAUAGGACAGGCUAUACAUUAUAUACAAUUCAAGCAUCAAUUUUUUGGUGAAAAUUGUAACAAAGAUCAAAUCAACAAGUAUAUAUAUUAUGCUAGUUUCUUUUACAAAUAAAUCAUUUGCAUAUUAACAAACAAUUGAAAGAAAGUUAUUCUUUUUCUUUUGUUUUGUUUUUUUAUUUUUUGGGUGGGAAAACUAACAUAUGUCACACUCAUGUCUCAUGUACCUAAAAGAUCAAUCAACUUUUAUGCCUACAUGAUUAUUCAUUCAAAAAAAUAAAAUAAAAUAGGUAACAAUCUUUUCUUGAAUUCAAUUUCAGUACUCACCACUAUAUAGGCAACUCUUCUUAAAGUCCCAAUUAAAAUAAAGUUUGUUUUGGACAAUGAUUUGACCAUAAGAGGACCACCCUUUCCACAAACACCCAAUCACCAAACUUCUAAGUUCUAAUUAAACUACAAGUUAAAAAGAGAAAAACAAAAGGUUCUUCUACCUAAAGGAGGGAUUGGUUAGUUAGAAUCAUCAAGAAUCAUAUAUAAUAUAGUUUAGAUCAAUUUAAUAAUAUUUUAAAGAUCUAAAUCUCACGGGUCAAAAUCUGAUUAAUAGCUAUGAACAUAUAUGUUUAUUUGCCCGACUUUAUGUGACACAGUUAUAGUUUGAAGAGUCAGAUGAAGUUUGCUUUUGACGGCGAUUUCAUCACAUAUAUAUCUUUUAAAUAUUUUGAAUUGAUAAUUAUUAUGAUAUAUCGUAAUUUUUAUAUAAUUUCUAAAUAUGUAAAAUUUUAUUUUAAAAAGUAAUCUUGAAAAUUCACAUUGAAAUUAGAUGGUUUAACCCUCGUAUUCUAAAUCAUGUCAGAUGAAGUGGGACCAUAGAAAUAGCCAGUUUUAAAUGUUUGGAACGUUUGUUUUGUAUAUGAUUAAACUUAUAAGUUUUCUUUUAAUGGAUAGAUUUAUUACAUUUAAAGGAGUAAGGUUGUGUAGUAUCAAAUUACAAAGAUAAAACUUAAAUACGUAUGAAUCCUAGGAUUUGGCAUAUGGUCUUGGUAGUUUAUGAAUUCUGUACUUUAUGUUUCUUUUAUAUUCUCCGAUAUUCUAAGGGCAGACAUUUUAGGAACUAUAUAUAAUAGAAACUACAUAUGGAUGUGAUAAGAAAAUGAACAUAAAGCGUAACUCAACUUCGAAAGUUAAUUAAUCAGGAACUGAGGACUAUUGAACAACAAAUAUUGAGACUGUGUCUCCAUUAAAAACCGAUGUGGGAAAUUUUGAUACGCUAGCUCCCAGAGCCUGCUUAUUAGAGCGUGGAUAACAUAGCACAUUAUGAGAGGGCUCAAACUUGGAUAAAUUAAGAACUGAGACGAGGCGAAUUCUGAUACUAUGAUAAUAUUUUACCACUUAACACUAAUUAAAAUGGGAGUAAGUAAGGAUAGACAUCAAUAGACAAGUAAUAAAAGAAGUACAUACCAAAUUAAACAAGAAUAUUCUCAUCCAUAUAUGAAAUGCCAAAUUAAUAUAAAUCUUUCUUGAUAAAGCCCCCUAUCCCACCCCUACCCAACCCACCCCCACCCCCUUCUUCUUUUUUCCUAUCUUGUCACAAUGCAAAGUAACUAAUAAACUUCCAAGCUAGCUACUUGUACAUGUCUAUCUUUGCAAUAUGUAAUGUCUUUGAAGAUCCUAUCUUUUUUUGGUUCCACAAUUAAGAAGAGAUAAAGAGGAAAGACAAUGAGAUGCAAAGGGAUGAGGGUAUAGUACAUAAAGGAAAAAAAUGUGACAAAGGUAUGGUCCAAGUGAAGUGGUUUUAAGUCACUCUCUUGAAUGUGCAAGUCAAAAGAGGUGGGCUUCUUUGGCCCAUUGGACUUGGCCCACCACCCACAUUCUCAUGCUAUUUCUUUCACUCACCAUCUACUAGAACUACCCUUAGUCCCCACUAGAAUAAGUCUCUCUAUAUGAUGCACACUUAUAGGUACUUAAUGGUAUUAUAUUCUAUGUCGGGUCAUUUGGUUUUGUAGUUCUUUAUAAAUUAAUACAAAAUUACAAGCAUUCUUUACUUUUACGCAUUAGAGAUCUGAUAGGGUCCCAUCUCUAUGAACUAUAAUUAAUAGGCGGUAUCCAUAAAUCUUUUUCUUCUAUUAUAUCCUACGUUUUGCUAAAUGUGCAUGAAUAUGUAGAGAUCGUAGGUUUUAAGAAACAGUUUUCGUAAUUUAGGUUUAAAUGAUAACUAUGCAUGUCAAAAAAUUGUGGAAAAUGUAAAAUGCAUCGUCACUUUUUCAUAGUUUACUAAAAAAAAUAGGAGUAUUGUUUUUACCCUUUAAUUACUAUAUUAUUAUAUGCAUACAUCUAUGACUGAUUUAUCAGAUUUAUUAAAUUAAAAACAUGGCAUAGAAAGUGAUUAUUAGCCUUUCCAUUGGAAUUGGAUUGGGCCUUUGCAAGAUUUAGAAUAGGGAAAAUUACGCGGUUAAACAAACUUAUACUACUUAAUUACUCAUUAUAGCUAUAGUUUGCUAUAAUUACCACUCACGACUAACAUUAUACAUUAAUAACGCGGGCUGACUUCGAGUUUGUAUAAUUAGCCACGUUUGUAUAUGUAUGAUUCACCAGAAUAUACAAAUACAUACAAUUCACCUCUCUCCUCCCUCUCCCAAUCUCGCUCGCCUCUCUCCUCCCUCUCCCAAUCUCGCUCGCCUCUCUCCUCCCUCUCCCAAUCUCGCUCGCCUCUCUCCUCCCUCUCCCAAUCUCGCUCGCCUCUCUCCUCCCUCUCCCAAUCUCGCUCGCCUCUCUCCUCCCUCUCCCAAUCUCGCUCGCCUCUCUCCUCCCUCUCCCAAUCUCGCUCGCCUCUCUCCUCCCUCUCCCAAUCUCGCUUGCCAUAUAUACAAAUACAUAUGUAUAAUAUACAAUUAUCUAACCAUAUACAUAUACAAUUCACCUUUCUCCCACUUUUUGCCCCCUCUCUCUCGCCUCUCUCCUCUCUCUCCCAGUCUCGCUCGCCUCUCUCCUCCAUAUAACAUGUAGCUACGAAUUGUAAUUAUCAAACUAUAGCUAUGGAGAGUAAUUAGGCUAUUUUUUAGUGGCUAUAUGUGAAAGUUCCCCUAUAUACUAGAUCAGCAUGCUAAAAUGAAAAGCCCAUUUCUCGGAAAAUAUUCAUAAAAUAGCCAUUUGCUAAUGUCGGUAUUUGAAAAAUAGUCACUCUCAUGCAGUUUCACUUAAAAAUUAAUAUAAUUGAAGUUCUAGCACAAUUUAUAUAUUUUUUAAUUACAGGACUAAAAAGUGUCUAGUACACGCUAUUGCUACCUCUACGUGAACUUUAUAUGGUCAUUUUUUUCAAAAAUAUUCUGAAAAUAAAAUAUCAAACAGUGUUUGAAAUUUUAUAAAUCAGUUGCUAAUAAAUAAAUAAAUUAAUUAGUUUCAUUUCUUCAAGAAUUCUAACUUUUUUUCUUUCCUUUUUGCUCUAUUCCUUCUUUUCCCAACUUCCCCCUCUCAUGAAAUUAAUCAUUCUCAAAAUACAUGGGUUUUUUUCUUUUGGCUAGUACCAUGUUUUGGGAGAUGAAUAUGAUAGAGGAGAUUAAGUUGAGAAAAGAAGGAAAAAGAGCAAAAAGGAAAGGAAAAGAUAGAAUCUUGAUCAAUAUUGCCAUAACAAAAAGGAACUUCUUUAAGUUCAAAUUUAUGUGUGUUUCUACUUUCUUGUGGUGAUUUGAAUAAAAGAGUGGAGUAACUUUGUAGUGAUUUAAUUUUGCAUGAUAUAUAUGUAAUCACCAAGGUAUUCAUCUCUAUUUGUACAUAUACAUAUAAUAGCUUGAAAUAUACAUAAACGUUCUUGUUAUAAGGAAGCACCCUUGGUAUUGCCCCUUUAUUUUUGUCAAUUAUUACAGAGUCAUCAAAGUUGCAUGCAAUUUUAUAUAAGAGAGCUGAAUUUGAAUAAAUUCGGAAUAUAAUACUAUCAAAAAUAUAUAUAUAUAUAUAUAUAUAGGGUUUAUUGAAAACAAUAUCUCUAUCUUCAUAAGGUAGGAGUAAGGUUGCAUUAUACACACCACCCUCCACCCUCCACAGACCUAUAUGUAAAAUUACAGUGAUUUUAUUAUUUCUGAAAUAAAUCAUUCUAUUAAGAAUAAAAUGUGCUACAUAAAACAGGGAUAGGGAAGUAGUAAAUAAAGCAAAACCUUCUCAUACUAAUUGAUUGAUAUUCGUGGAGUAUAGGAGCUAUUCGUACUUGAAUUGGGGAAACUUACAUAAAUCCUACUAGUUUAGGAGCUAAUUACUCAGAUACAGUUUAGUCUGCAUUGUUACGUAUCUUAUCAGAUUUUGGUGCCUUCAGAUAUGUCCAGGUACAUGUAUCUCGAAUACAUGAGAUCAAAUUUUGGUGUAAUUUGUUCUAGAUAUAUUGUAUCCAAGUGGAUUCACAUGUAUAUGAGAUACAUAGCAAAUCUCGCUCGCCUUCCUCGCCUCUCUCCCAUCACGAUCGCCACUCUCUCAUGUAUCUGGUAUUCCAGAUACAUGUGAAUCACUCUAGAUACAUACAAAUACAUGUAUCUAGUGUUAUUCGCAUGUAUCUGGGUCUCGCUCACUGCUCUCCCUAUUUUUGUGUAUUUGGUAGUAAAAAUACAUGUAUUUAAGUGUAAGAUACGUUGAAAACUCUUAAUUAAUAAUAAAAUACGUAAUAUUUUUAAAGUAUAGAUAAUAAUAGUAUAUAUAAGUCCACUACAUGUACGAUUGGGCUUGGCCCAAUUUGAGGAACUUUCGGCGCACAAAAACCUUCCUAAACCCAACAGUAGGCUCCAUUAUACUUGCAACUAUAUAACACAUAAAGACUAAAAUAUGGAUGGUUUGUAUUAGUGUAUUGUCUCUAUAAUGAUUCUCCUCUAUAAUAGUAUUUAACUAUAACAAUUACGUUUUCCUUAAUUGAUUUCAUGUUACGUUAUAUUGUAUGUUUUCUGUAAUAGUAUUUCGGUCUAACAACUAAGAUAUCCAAACAAACAACGAUGUUGCAGAGAGGUUUGACUGUAGCCUGAACUUCCUUUUUCCUUAUGUAUUACGUGCCUCAACUAAAUUAGGAGAAAUCGCAGUAUCGGUAUGAAAAAGUUGUCAUACAUAUAAUUAAGUAUGAGAAAACAACAAAAUUUGAUCGAAGCUAUCAUUAGUCUCUUAAUUAAUUAUAUUAACUCAAGUCAAAUCCCUUGGAUUUGCUAGUACUUUACAAAAUUUAGUUAAACAUAUUCAAUUCAAUGUAUAAAGCUAACUUUGCCACUAUAUAUAUGAACAUGGUUAAUUAUUAAUGUCCGACCUGUUAUUAUUACUAUAUAUUUGUCUUGUUUAGAAAAUUCAUCAAAUCAUCAUUAGUCAUUAAUACAACAUAAUUAUGAAAUGGGCUUACCAAUUGCUGCGGAAGUGUGUCCCCUGUCGGACUGGAAAUAUUGGUAUGCUACUUUACUAGAUAAGUUAGGGUUAUUGGUGCCAUUUUGUAGGGCCACCCUUGUCUCCGAUGAGAGGGGCAGAAUGAUCAUCUGAAUUCAGUAACUUUAACUUAAAAAUCAGAUGCGGAUUUAUUGAAGAAUUGUUUGAACUUAACAGUUUUAACCUAGAUUAUGUAUAUGUGUGACUAAAUAAGUGCAAAUAAUUAAUUUUUGAAGAUGUGGUCGUGGAAUUUUCAACUCGAACUCAUUAUGUUCGAAUCCUGAAUCCAUAUUCUCUAAUCCACAAUCAUAGUGGAUAAAGGUUUGAAUACAAAAUAAAAACAAAAACUUGAUCCUUGUUAUAUUUCUCAAUCACUUUGUGGCAUCGAAUGUGGCUGAACCAUCUUUGAUGGGGAACUAAAGCAUAGAAAUGAAGCUUAGAUAAAAGAAUACGCCCUUCUACUUGAUUAACUAUACUUAGAUACACCCCAAAUCUGCCACAUGACAUAGCAAGUGUUUCAAACUAGGAGCAUGAGACUUUUAAUAAAAUAUCUAAAGAAGUGUUAAAAAUACCGCUAAAUUUGGCGUGAAUUUAGGAGUGUAUUUCACUCGUGUUACGAAAUCGGGAGUGUAUUUAGGUUUAGUUAGUCAAGUAAAUGAGUGUUUUUAAAGUUGUCAAUAGCCGAAUUAAAGGAUAUUUUCAGUACUUCUCUCUUUUUUAUAAUACAAAGUUCAACCAAUGAAGAAUCGAUAUAAGAUAAAAGGCAACACUAGCUAUAGCUAACCAAACGAACAUAUAAGAAAUCCCAAAAGUUGAAUUUAAUUAAAAUCACUAAACUAUUGUUUUAGAAUCGUACGAUAUAAACAUAUGAAAGAAAAAAAAAACUUAAAAACAUAUACAUAUUAAUAACUACAUGUCAAAUUGUUUCCACUUCGAACUUAAUACUAAUCUUAAAUUCUGGAUUCGUCUCUGACAUUAGUUUUGGUGACGCGUUCACAAUGAGGGCACAUGGUGAGGGUAGAUGCCGGUAGGGGAUGGCAACUAUGGGGUGAUAACACCGUUGGCGGACCUACUUUCAUGGCUCGUAACUCUUCAACUUCUUUCUUUAAUCUUCGAUUUUGUUCAUUCAGUGAACCAAACCAUCUCUUUAAGUACUCACAUUCCAUCUCUGUUUGCUUUAGCUUGCUUCUGUUUAACACAAAUAUAACUAAAUUAAGCUCGACUAAUUCAAAUUCGCAUUUUUUUCAAGAAAGAAUUAACUAAUGCAUUGAUGAUUGGACCUUUCUUCCAACAUUAAAUAAAUGCACGUGCAUUAUGGCUAACACCUGGAAAAGUUGAUCUAAUUAAAUGCUCAAAUUGACCGAUCGAUUAUUAUUCUUUCUUCUUUAAAAGGGAAAAUACUAUUCGUGGAGUUGUGUGGAGUUGUUUGGUGUGAGGUAUAAUAAUUGUAAACAUAAAAUGUAGGAUUAUUUAUCUCGUGUUUGAUUGGAGGUAUUAGGUAGUCAUGAGAUUAAUUAUUUCAUAUUUUAAUGAUGAGAGAAGUUAAUCACAUAUACUGAUAUACAUAAUGGAAUAACUUAUCUCGAGAUAUAUCAUUUGUUCCCAACCAAACGACCUAUGUAAUUAUAGGUAGAAAAUAUAAGGUACUCUAAUACUACACUUUUUUUCGAUUUUAUUUUACUUGUCCCCUCUAUUAAAAAUGAAUAUUUUAUUUUACUUGUUCAUUUUAACAAAUCAAAAGGGUUUUACAUAUAUUAUCCUUAGUGUUAAAUGAUACAUAAAAUAAUACUAGUCAAAUUUAUAAUAAUAAAAUUAAUUUAGUAAAAUAGGGAGUAUUAUGGCUUAGCUACUGAGUAUUUGUCAAUAUUAAAGUAAGAAAGUUGAUAUGACUUUAGUGUAACAAUUCUAUUUGCCUCUUCUUUGGUGGAGCCUUUUUAGUGUGUAACCAUUUUGAAAGAGUCAAAUUUCCUAAUUUUCUGGAGUUUGUUCCCACUACCUCCAAAAUGAAUUAAUUUUUUCAUUCUUCAUCAGGAGACUUAGGGAAUGUGUGUGAAAUUUUUCGACGUGAAUUAAGAUUUAGUUAUACCCCAUUAUAAGUAUUGGACAACGAAUGAGAAACAACAAUAACAUACUAAGUGAAAUGUUAUAAGUGGUGUUUGAUGAGGGUAGAGUGUACGCAGUCCUUAUCACUAUCUCGUGAAAGCAAAGUUGUUUCUAAGAAAAUACUCGAUUCAAGUGUACUCAAACCCAAGUAAAAGCCGAAGAACGAAAACUUUAUAGGAAACACAUGGCUUUUGGGGUGUGGGGCUUAAUUUAAUUUUGGUUCUUAAAUGUUUAUUCAGAUAUUUGCAUUAUAGAGAAUGAAAUAUCACUUUCUAUUCCCAGAUCAACAAGAAGAACAAUGCAAUAGAAUCUGAUCCUUGUUUUUAAUACUGGACACUUCUUAUUAUUGUUCUCUCUCUCACGAGUAAUUUACUUUAUAAUAAUUCACUAGUAAUUUACUUUAUAAUAUAUGUAAUUUUUUAGUUUUAGUUAUAAAUAUAAAGAAAAAUAAAUUAGUGUAAUUACUUCCUCACCAUUAAUUAUCUCUUCUCAACUACCAACACAUUAGUUAGCAAUAUUACUACCUAGCUACUCCACUUAUUUAAUUGGUUGUUUAAGGUUUUGAGGCAUUUACUAUUAAUAACUAAUGUCUUAUUGGAAGACUAGUAACGUAAUAAAACGUUCAGUUCAUUUUUACUUGUUUACUAUUUUAAAAAUAAAAUUUUAUUUUUACUUGUUCAUACAUCAAAGUAAAGUCAAUUUUGUUUCCAUGUGUUACCUUUGAUUUUAGUUAUUUAUUCCCCAAAUCAUUUUUCAGGAUCUAAAUAAAUAGUUAUGUCAAUUAUUAUUUCUUUAAUAGAUGUGUGAGGUCCAAAUUAUUAUGUGACAAAUAAACGUGAACGGAGUGAUUAACAUUUUGACUUUAACAAGAGAGAGUAGUAAUAGUAGUACUAAUAAAUAGCCAUAAAAAGUGUAUAGAUAUAUAUAAAUGUAAAAGUACCUUGCUCUACGGUUUUGAAACCAAACCUCCACUUGCCUUGCCUUUAACUUUAAUUGCAUGGCUAAAGCUUCCUUUUGUUUCUGCAUUUAUUUUCCAUUACAUUAGAUUAAAGAAUGGUCAAAUGUAAGAAAGAAAAAAAAAACCGUUUGACUGAACAUAAAGUUUUAAAAUAUGAUGCAGUUUGACUGAACAUAAAAUCUAAAAAGAAGUUAUCAUUCUUUCGUAACAGACUAAAAAGAAAGUGUUAAUACUUACCGGGUUCAAAGUAUGAUUUUGUCUAAAGCUUUCUUCAAGAAGAAAAGAUUGCUGUUUUGUUAAACGUAGUUUUUUCCUUGAAGCCCCAUUAAUAUUAUCAUUAAUAUUAUUAUUAGAGCUCUCUUCUUCUUCUUCCUCCAUGCUAAUUUCUUCAUCAUUAAUAUUUCCACUUGAAGGUACUUGAUUUAUAUCAAGCUCUAGAUCUCUCAUCAUAUUAUAACGUCCACCACCCCCUUCACCUUCAUCAAUUAAAACAAAAAAAAAAAAUCAACACAAGAUAAUUACAAAUAGGAAAAGAUCAACAUAAUUAAAAGUAACUCAUCACACAUGUAUAUAAAUAAAUAAAGAAACUUCACUAAUUAAACAAAGGGAAUAUAUACAUAUACCAAGGCAAAUAAGCUAUGAUCGACAAAGGGUGGUCCGUCUAACACUCUUUGUCAGAAAAUCAGAAACAAAUUCAGAACUUGAAAUUUUAAACACUCAUACUGAAAAUUAUGAUUUCGUCACUCGUGAAAAUAAAAAAUGUCAUCUAUAGCAUAAAACGGCCCAAAUUAAAAAUAUCAAACUAUUUAUACAAUUUAGCUUUUGAAAAAAUAAAAAAAUUCUCUAGUGAUAAAUAAUUAAUUAAACUUACCAGAAGAAGGAAAAGAUGAAGAAUUAGAAGAAGAUCCAGGAAUAGACAUGGUUAGCUCCAAACAAGCUGAACUUUCUGGCAUAAUCUCCAUUUUAUUAAAUUAAUAUAAGCUAAAAAAUUCUUAAUAUUUUGCAAGAAUUAAGAAGAAGGCUAAGAGUUUUUUUUUCUUUUUCAGAGAAGAGAAUAAAGUAUAAAAGGGACAAAUGAAAGAAGGGGGCAGGAAAGAAAAUAAUGAAAGGGAAGAACCAAUUAAGGGUCAAAUAAAUAGAAGGAAGAAAAAUAAUUACUGUUAUAAAUUUCUUAUAUUAUUAAUUGUCAUAUUGACUAAUGACCAUGGUUGUCAAGUCAAAUAGUCAUACAUAUCUUAAUAAUAAAUCACACGUUAUCUUAUUAAGAUUAGUAAAGUAAGAUCGAGUCAAUUUUUUAUUGUCAGAUAAUUUUUUUGAUGGUAUAAUUUAGAAAAAAAUAAUAUUAUAAAGUGAGAUUGAGCCUUUUUGGUAUUGUUAAAUACUUUAUCUAGUGGUAUAAAUUCGGAAAAAAUAUACAAUAUUGUGGCGACAAAUAAUUUUGAGAGUGAAAGUUGUGUUUUUUUUUCCUUCCUCAUGUUUGGCCAAAAAGGAGGUUUGUCGGUUCAUAAGUCAGCUACUUAUAUGAUUGGAAUUUGGAAUUUGGAAUUUGGAAAAAUAAGAAAAUGCCCUUUUUUAUAUAUUUUAUCUUUAAAAUGAAUAGAAUUUUGAUCUUGAAUUUUUUAUGAGAAAUUUUGAAUUUUGAUCUCUGCAAUGGAAGAAAUUCUUGGUAGGAACACUUUUUUCUUAAUGAAUUUUAUGUGGCGAAACUAAACUAAAUUAAAUGAGUUAGAAGAUGAUAGAUUAUAUCAUAUGAUUAUACCAAAAAUGUUGUGUGAUUUUUAUUAUUUUAUAUAUAAAGUUCUUAAACACCCUUCAAAGGAGAUAUCUAAUAACCUUAAUCAUAGGUGACUCAAGUUGAUCACUUUAAUAAUGUGCAAAUUGACUAAAUUUGGCUACAAUUUUUUAACUUUAAGAAAAUACCAAGAGUGGGUUUGUAUAUAUAGGAUUAUAGGUGUUGACUACUUUACUUAAAUAGACAAUUUUAAUAAAUUCAAAAUAUUAUUUUAAAAAAAUUAUGGGACAUGCACUCUUUUAAUAAACUUGACAAGUCAAAGUCCUCUUAAUACACAUUAAUUAUGUCAAAUUAAGGAGCUAUAAUUUCUUAUAAUUAAAAUGUCCUCUAAUUUGUUCAAAAAGAAUCUUUAGAAGUGACAUUAUAAGUACGUAAUUUAUUUAUUUUUUAAUUUUAUUUAUUUUGUCUGGUCUAUGAAUAGUAAAGCUGUUUUUAUAUAAUGUGGCAUUUAAUUCAUUUGCAGGUGUGGAAAAUUAGUUUAACGUUUCAUUUGCAUUUAUGGCAAUAAGAAAAAAGACACCAAAAUGUACUACAAAUUAAACACCUUCAUUUAAUUAGGGAACUUUGUCUCUUUGUCUUCUUUUUAAAAAAUAAUAAUAAUAAUUAAGGAAAUAUAAAAUAAUCUCUUUUAUUUCCCUUAUUAUUUGGUGGAAAUCAAUCACUUUUUUGUGCACGAAAACAUUAUAUAAAAGCAAAAGUCAUAUAAUUAGGUCACUUUUUACUCCAACAAUUGGUACUACAUGUAUAUAAUUCCUGUCGGAAAAAAAUUUGUUUAAUCACUGAAAUUUCCUAUUUAAUAAUAAUUAAAAAAAUUCUGUUAAAAUAAUAUUUAACUUAAAUUUUUUCUGAACUUGUGAUUCUAUAAAAGACUUUCUUCUAAUUCUUCUUUCUUUUACUUUUUACUUUAUGAAUCGAUAAUCAGAUUCAAGAUUUUUAGUUUACUAGUUCUGAAUCAAUAUUCAUAUUUACUUACUGAGUUAUGAAUAUACAGUUUAAUUUAUUAAUUAUAAAUAUAAAAUUUUAAUCUAAAUUAGUAUUAAAUUUUUUCAAACUCGAAACUGUAACGGUGGUUUUACCUUAUUUCGUAACUUGUUGGAGACUUAGCUUGACUUCAGCUUUCGUGACCAAAAAAUCAAAACAGUUUGUAUUUAUCAAUUUUGGACUCAAUUAGUAAAAAAAUGGAAGUACUACUAGAGUAGUAUGAUUAUCAAAAUAAUAGUUAUUUACAUUAGUUAAUUGCUUAAAUUAAAAAUAAUCAGUGAAAUGUUGUGAUUAAUUACAAAAUUGUAACUAACUAUUCUUCCAUUUUAUACCAUUAUAAAUUAUAGGUACGUUUGUACUCACACAAUUUAUACGUUAUAACUUCUCAAAUUAAAAGUUAUAAAGGACAUGAGAAAUGUAGCAAGUCCUUGUUGAAAAAAAUGAAAGACUAUAUAAAUAUCAAUUUUGACCAUAUAAUUUUAUUGUUGAUAUGUUUUAUCACAAUUGUCAAGAAUUUUCUCAAUUAGUAUUCCAAUUGCAUACUGAGUCAUCAUCCUCUUUCUAGACUUUUUUUUUUGUGGUUUCAAUAUUUGAAUUUUUGUAUUUAUACUAUAUAUAUAUAUAUAUAUAUUAAAGAAAAUUUUAAUUUGAUAAUAAUUCUUGCUUAUAUGUGCACUAUAAGUAUUAGAUAAAAUUUUAUUAUAUUUAAAUUUGUGGAAUAUAUUAAUAUUAAUAGUGAAUUCCAGGUUCCGUGGUCGCAGUUUGAUAGAAAAAUAAAUAAGUCUCUUUCACACGUGAAAAAAAUAAUAUAAUAAUUAGAGUCAAAUUUUCGAAUUAAUUAUAUAUUUACAUAUUUUUAAUUAUAAGUAUGAAAAAAAUUGAUAUAAAAAUAAAAAAAAUGGAACCCAAGCACACGGGUGGACAGAUAAAAACUAAUCUCUAUGAAAAAGUAGAGUUGAAACCCAACCCAAAAGACAAUUUUGGGCCAUGGGUUUGAUGAUUAGGUUGGAAAUAUGGUCUAUUGUGGGACCUGUCUUGAUCAUUGGGUAGGGGACAUUUGGCCCCAACAUGUCUGCUUCUUUUAUAUCUCAGAUACAGAAUCACACUAGAUACACACUAGACAAAUAUAUAUGUAUGUAUCUGGUGUUGACACCCAAUUUUGACCCUCCCCGAUAAUAAUUAAUUUCGAGCUUCUUAAUUUUCAAACGUUUUAAAGUAAUUAAUUUUAGAAAUUUCGAAAAAAUAAAUAAAAUAUAAUAGAAUAAUUUGCAAGUUGUUUCUAAAUAGUUUGUCACUUGUUAUAAUUUUUAAAUAAUAAUAUGUCUUUUAUAUAAUUAUAUAUAUAUAAUUAUGUAUAUAAUUAUAUAUAUAUAAUUAUGUAUAUAAUUAGUGUAUUUUAUAAAUAUUGGAAAAUCGUCUCAAAAAGAUUUUGUUAAUUAGAUAUUUGGUUAGUUUGUUUAGUCAUCUAAUAAUUUACAAUUUUGAGUUAAGUAGUUAGUUUAUAAUUAAGUUAAUUAUUAUAUAAUUAUGUGUCUAAUUAGUAUAUUUUACGAAUGUUCAAAAAUUGUCUCGGAAGGAUUUUAGCUUUAUUUAAAUAUUUGGUUAUUUAGUCAUGUAUAUUGUUAAAGUAAUUAGUUUAUAAUUAAGUUAAUUAUUUUACUUCGUUAAGAUUAAGAAGCUCGUUAAUUAAUUAAUAUUAAUUCAUUUAGAUUCUAGCCGAAUUAAUCUCUAAAGCUAUUCCCUAAAUUUAAUCUAACUCACCUCACCAUAAACCCAUUUAAGAACCAUUUUAUGCCAUUUUCUUAAUACCAAAAAUCGGCCCAAUUCCCUUUAUAAUUCCCAGCCCAUUUUCUAGCCCCAUUCCAAUAAUUCCAUACAUUACUUACAUUAAUAAUACAACCUACAAUUAUAAUAAUACAACACAACAAUACUAAAAUAAUAACAACAUACACCAAACCGACCCCCUAUUUGCACUGUUCUUCUUCUUCACAGAAACGGGCAGCAACCCAAAAACGAAGAGAAGAACAGUGCAAAUAGGCCCACCGCGACCCAACAGCCCAUCAAAUCGAUCCAGUAACUUCGCGCGUGUCCGUCCUUCUCACGUCCCUCUCCGUCGUACAACCCGAGCAGAGAAGAGCAAGCACGCGUUUCUGGCCUUUCCUCUUACGGAAUGGGUUGAAAUCUCAGAGGAAAAGUGUGUCGUUCCGAUUUGGUGAAAGAAUUUUUGGAUUUUGAAUUUUGAAUGGUAAAAAUUUCACCCGAAUUCCCCCCCAAAAAUCUACCCUAAACUUCCCCUAUAUAAUUAUAUCUUUGUUCAUUUGUAGAGGGGGGGAAUUUUUAUUUUUACUUUAUUUUGAAAGAGAGAUUUCUGGGUUCGAAAAAUUUGGUAAAGACAAUCGUUGGAAAAGAGAGAGGGAUUUUUGUUGGAAAAUUUUGGACUAAGACAUAGAGUUAGAAAAAAGAUCCUUUGGAGAAAAGGUUGGAAGGAAAGAGAGUCGAAAUCACAUAGACUAGGGGGUCGUUUUCGCUCGCUUUUGUUCUGUUCUUCAGAGUCUUUGGAAUCGUGUCUCGGUAGCGGAAGUGUGUCUCUGUUCAGCUCGUCCUGUCCCAGUUGGCUGCCCAACGAAAGGUAAUUUUAUGCCUCCUUACGUUCAUUCAUCGUCAUAUCUUGUUUAGUAGUUUAAACUUAUCAUAUUGUGUCGUUGAAUUCCACUUUGAGAUGGGUUGAACGUUUUUUCGUUACAAGUUCUAUUUCUGUGUGACCUUAGGUGUUCGUUUUGCGGCUCCUAAAUUUUUGUGACUGAGAUUUGCUUAUAUUUUUGUUCGAAUAAGUAAUAUAAGCGAAUAUUUUGUAUGUUCUCGAAAGUUUCUUAGUUUGUUUGUUUAGCUAAAUCAUAAUGUUAUUUGCUUAUCGAUCUUAAAUCUUAUGUUCACUAGAGUAUUGUUGGUUUGAUGUGUAGAUCUUAAUAGGUCUGUUUCUUAAUUCUACUGUUUAAGCAUAGGUUUUCUUGAUUAAAAUAUAGUUACUUGUGACUUAGUUUUUCUUUUGAGUCAAGGAUAGAAUGGGAUAUGAAAUUUGCUCUCUUUCUAGUUCAUAAAAAAAAUAUAUAAUAAAAAACCUUACUUCUUGGCUAUAUGAGUUACGGACAUAUAUUACUUAUGGCUGCAUAUUUCAUCUGCUACCUAAUUAACUUCAUAGCAAUUUUCUUGGAAUUACAUGGUAGAGUUAGAUUUAGUCUUAAGUUAAAAUUAGUCUACUAGUCGUUGUCCAGAAAGAGAUGCAUAAUGGUAGUAUUUAUUCACACUAAUUGUUGCUAAUGAUUUAAGUUUGUCUUAUCUUCUUCAAUGUCUAAGAUAGUCAUUAAUUAUGGUCCCAUUCCCUCUCUAAUAUUAAUAUUGUUUAAAUUCCCUUUAGGUGUUAGUCUUGACAUUUUGCUUGAAUGCACAUUUGAUUACAUUCUAUGGGGGGAUUAAAUUAGUGUUCACAUAAUCAAAAUUUUGGAUAAUCUCGUCGGCUUAGUAGUAUAGAUAAAAACUGGUUUUUUUUUGUUUUUGUUGUUUUGUUAUGCCUAUCGACUUAAUAUUUUUCUUACUUUGAUAUGACUAGCUUAGAUGAACUAAUUCAUAUUAUUUAUUUUACUCGCAUGUGACAUCGAUUCGAGUUCACUUUGGACUCCAUCCUUGCAUUUCUCUCGAGUUACAUUUAAAAUCGAGUCCCAAUGGACUGAUGUGUGAAGCCAAGGAAGCAGGUGUACAGGUUAAUGGCCGAUUGCAGGUCUCAAAAGGCCCAAAAAGGGCUGAUAUACCUGCUGUAUACACUCGUAUACAGCCGGAAAUAUGGUUUACAGGUUGCAAAAAUAUGAGGAUACAAGUUUGAUGAGAAGACAUAAAUUGAUAGCUAUUGUUCAAGGAAAAAUGCAGAAAUACGGACCCCAAACACGGUCCAUAUACAGUGAUAUACGUAAAGGGUAUAUGCAGAUUUUUCCAAAAAGCAAAACAGGCCCAAAGGCCUUAGACAAUUUCAGCAAAGUCCAAGAUGUGGGAAAUUUGGGCCAAAGGCCCAAAUUUGAUUAUUUCCUUUCCCUCCCUUAUUAUUUAUAUUUUGUUUAACUAACUUUGUUUAUUUUAUGGUUUUAAUUUAAUUAAAUUCCUCAAGAUAGCCAUUUUUUUAUUUAUAUAUAUAUANNNNNNNNNNNNNNNNNNNNNNNNNNNCCCUUUAGAAAAUUCCCCUCUAGUUCAUUUCCCUUUAGAUAAAUAAAAUGAUAAAAAAUAAUAAUAGUAAUAAAUAAGUAGCUUAAAAUAAAAACGAGUUUUUACUUAGUUAAAAUUUCCAAAAAAAAAAAAAGUCAAAAAUAAAUGAGUCCUUCUUACCUAGUUAAAAUUUCAAAAAGUUGGUUUAAAUAGACGAGUUUUUUUUUUUACUUGGUUAGAAUCUCAAUAAAAUUAGUUAAAAUAAAUUGAGUUCUUUACUUAGUUAAAAUUUUAAAAUUAGUCAAAGUCGUAAUGAAUUCUUUUACUUAAGUUAAAAUUUCAAAAUUAGUCAAAAUCAUUUUGGUCAAAUCGCCGGUCAACCGCGAGUUAGCGGGCAUUCCGAGGGCUUAACACCUUCUCGGAAUGUACAUUGAACUUCCAACCCUCUUAUUUUCAAUGGAUUUUAUUUGUUUAAAUCUUUUGAAAACCUUUAAAUUUUUUCUUGAUUUUUUACUAAAAAUUAAGUGGCGACUCUAUCCUUUUGGAAAUUCGAUUUUUCUUAAACUAUAAGUUUAAUCGACUUUUCGAAAACUAAGUCAUUUUUCCUUGUAUAUAUCUUUUUAAGUAAAACAUCUGGUAUUUCAGAUGAAGAGUGACGAACGAGAUGGAAGUGAGGCAAGGGAAGCGAGCGAGAUUGUUAUGUAUAUAAGAUAUAUGUGAAUUCACUGGAUACCAUGUAUCUAGAAUAAAUUAUACAUAAUUUUGAUCUCAUGUAUCUCGGAAUACAUGUAUCUGGACGCACCAAAAUAUGAUAAGUAUUCGUAAUAUUGCGAACGAGAGCAUAUAUAAGUAAUUAACUCCUAAACUAGUGAAAUUUAUGUAAGUUCCCUUUUAAUUUGCUUCUCCUAUCUUGAUUUGAUACAGAGUUUAAAAAAGUAAAGAAGACGUUUGAAUCUUCUAGUCUUAAAUUAAGGAUAUGCAAAUCUUGUGGUCUUAAACAUGACAUGUGAAAAGUUACAAAUAGGAAUGAGACAUUUCAUUUUGAAAGGCACUAAAAUAGUAGUAUAAAAAUCUAUAAAAAAAUUCCUCAAAAUAUGCAAUUUCGGCUAUGAGAUUUUACUUUUAAGACAAAAUGUGUUUGCAAAAUGUGAUUUAUAUGUAUCUUGAUUUAUAUUUAACAUAAUAAACGAUUUGAAAAACAACAUUACCUUAUAUGAUAUUUCAAAAAUAUAUCUCUACUAUACUCAUUUUGUGAGUAUGUUUUAUGGAACUUAUCUUUCAUUUUCAUAAAUACUUUAAGUGACACUUUCAUUUCUACAUCCUAGUUUGAUCAUAGGCAACAUAUUCAUAGUUUCACUGAUUGAUCAUUGAUGUAUAUCAAGAUCUUGAAAUCAUAUACAAUGUUGGUUUUGCACAAGAUUGGCAAGGACUAGUCGAAAUAUAUAGUUUAGUGUACAUGACUUGCAUAAUUAGAACUUCAGUGCAUUUCUAGAAACAGAGAAAUGCAGCAGCAAACUAUAAGAAACUACGUGAUAACUAUAGAGCAGAUUUCGAGAAAAAUACAUGAAUACAUUCUCAUUCAGUUUAAGGAUUAUGUACAUGAUCUCCAAUACCUUAUAACAUGUAAUCUAGGUCAGACUUCUACAACACUGUCAUCUUAUCUUGUACAACACUCCAACUCUUUAAAACACUAUCUUAACCAUACUAGUCUUAGCAUUCAGUUCAAGUAAAUUAGACAAUCAUUCACCUGAUAAUAAGAUAAUGCCAUUGACAAAAAAUUAUCUAAGAAGUAGAAGAAGAAAUAUACAUAUUGCAUUAGCUUUUCAGUUACAAAAUGCAUAUACAAAAUUCUAACGAAGAUCACAAUGACAACAAUCGUGCAUAACUGAUAAAAUAUGGGUUCACGUCUAGCUUCUAAUGCUCUGCGAUGUUCGAUUUCUUUUUCAAUUUGUUCAAUCCUUACUUGUAACAUAAACCGUUCGAAAUUUCUACGUCCUGCCAUAUAUUGAAGUGAUUGCCAAUAUUUGACAUAUCCCAACCCAAUGUAUAUUCAAGUAGUCAUCCAAAUAACAGAAAUUCAAUCAAUUUUGGUGUAUUUUAUGGUGAAUUGAAAUAGACAGGCCGAUGGUUGAAGAAGAAGAAUAAUAAUUUGGGAGAGUAACGAUGAAUUUGAAGAAAAAUUGGAGGGAAAUGAGAAUAUUAAUCAAGUACAAAGUUUGUUUUUAUAUAGACAAUUUCGUUUAGUGAUUUUAAUUAACUAUAAUUAAUUACUUCUAACUAAUCGUUAGUUUAAUGCUUAUUAAACCUUACUCAAAUUUUAAGUAUGAAAAGAAAUGGUAAAGGUAAAGAGAAUGGAAGCCCAAGCACACGCGGGUACAGAAAAACCUAAUGUGAAAGCAAAAAUAGAGUUAAAUCCAACCCAUGUUUACAUAUGUUUGAUGAUUAGGUUGAAAAUAUGGUCCAUUGUUGAAAAUUUGGCCCCAACAUGUCUGCUUCUUUUAUAGCUACAUUCCAUUUGCUUACUUAUCUCCCUCCGUUUUAAUUUAGGAGAAACUAUAUCGUUAGACAUAUUUCACUAUUAUAUAUACUACUAUUACUUAUAUUUUUAAAAUAUUACAUAUUUUAUCACUAAUUAAGAGUUUUCUAUUAUAUAUUAAGGAAAAUACAUUUAGAUACAUGUAUUUUUGCUACUAGAUACACUAAAAUAGAGAGAGAGGCGAGCGAGAUAGUCAACUGUCCCAGAUACAUGCAAAUCACACUAGAUACACACUACAUACAUGUAUUUUGUAUGUAAUUGAGAUACAGAUACGUAGGAGGGUGACUAGCAAGAUGGAGUGUGGGGGGGGGGGAAGGCGAUCGAGAUUUAUUGUGUAUCCCGGAUACAUUUGAAUCCACUUGAAUACAGUGUAUCUAGAACAUAUUAUACCUAAUUUUGACCUCAUGUAUCCUAAGAUACAUGUAUCAGGAUGCACCAAAAUAUGAUAAAAUCCGUAAUAUUGCAAACUAGAGUGUAUAUAAAUAAUUAGCUCCUAACCUAGUGAGUUUUAUGUAAGUUUCCCUUUAAUUUUUCUGUCUUAUUUUGAUUUGAUACGAAAUUUUAAAAAGCAAAGAAGACUUUUGAAUCUCCUGAACUUUAAUUAAGUAUAUGCAAAUCUUGUGGCCUUAAAUAAAACAUGUGGAAAGUUGCAAUUAAAAAAUUGUUAAAAAAGGAAAGAGACAUUUCGUUUUGAAACAAAUUAAAAGAAAAGUAUCACAAAAAAUUGAAACAGAUGGAGUAUUAUAGUUAAAUUGGUGAAUAAAUCUUGUAAUUUUUUCCUCAAAAUAUGCAGUUCUGGCUAAGAGAUUUUACUUCAAAAACAAAACAUGUAUGCAAAAUGUGCUUUAUAUGUGUCUUGAUUUAACUGAGGUAAUAAACAGUUUGAAAAAUAAUGUUAGCUUAUAUGAUAUUUAAAAAAUAUAUCUCUACAAUACUCAUUUUGUGAGUAUAUUCUAUGGAAUUUAUAUUUCACUUUCAUAAAUACUUUUAACGACCCAAAAUCACUCCCAAUAUAACAUUAUUCAUCUUGUAUAGAAUUAACCUUUCACUUCUAAAGACUUAGCUGUAACAGCUUGCAAGAGGUCUUACAAAAUUGGUUAUACACAAAUGAACAUCAUCCAUCUUACAACAAUACAAAAAUGAAGUUUUUCAUUGAUUAAUGUACAUCAAGAUCUUGAAAUCAUAUACAAUGAAGGUUUUGCUGUAUAGUUUACUGUAUGUGACCUGCAUAAUUGGAACUUCAGUGCAUUCCUAGAAACAGAGAAGUGUCGUUGCAAGCUUCACGCCUUAUCAGUCGUAACUGCAGAUUAGUCACCUAGAAGACACAGUGGUUGCCUCAUGCUAAGUUCAGCCUUGAGGUUUGGAUAUUUCUCCAGAUCAAGAGAAUCACCCAAAAUUUUCUGGAAGAAUGAUUAAUAAUAUCUUAGUUUUGUUUGGCAGAAAAACUAUACAAUGAGGGGAUCAAUAGAAUAUACAGAGAUGUCAAGUAAACAAUAUAGAGUUAAAAACCAGAAGCUCAAAAGAAAAGUAUCCAACACAGGAUUGUAAUAAAAAGACAGCAAAUAACAAGAUAUGAAAAACACGUGCAGCAACAGAUGGUAAUACACAUUGAGAAUAAGAAACUACGCGAUGACUAAAUAAUACUACUAAAACGGAGAAGUGGAGAGGAGGAGGCUAUCACACAGCUUUAGUCCAUGAAGGAAACCAUCUCACUUGCAACCACUUAUAGAAGCUAUGAAGCAAAUUUCGAGAAAAAUACACAAAUAUGUCCUCAUUCAGUUUUUAGGAUUAUGUGCAUUAUCUCACUGUCUGGAAUAUUAUUAUAGUUGACUAUGUUGUUGAGACAAAAUAGUAUGCCGAUGAGUUUGUUUACUGUCUCAUGCAUAAUAAAGACAAAUAGGAGAAUAAAAGACUAAACAUAUGAGUUACCAGCAAAUGCUAGAAACUUUUAUAGGCAUACAAUACCUUAUAACAUGUAAUCUAGAGGGGAAAAGUACAAAUGGUUAAAAAGGAAAUAAAAAGGUAAAAUAAGACAAUGUUGCAAAAAAUAUGAAACCAGAGAGUAGAUUAGAGGAUGUAUCGUGAAUUUGACAUGUGUGGUUUCUCUAUCAGCUAGCAUAUUCUUUUGCUAUAUUUUGUUGUAUUUAUUUUGUGUUGUUCGAUGCUAUUCAGUGUUCUAUUAAGCUGUAUAGAGUAUCGAAUUAAAAAUUAGCAUAGACAGGGCUCCGUGUAAUGUGGUUUGUUCUUUUAUAAAAAAAGAGAACUUUUGGCUAUAAUUUAUGCUUCUUAUAUACAAAGAAUAUGAUUUUGUGUCCAACUCACGUUGUUUCCCUGUGAUUUCUAGAAUUUUGUAUCUUAACACCAAGUUGAUUAACAGAAAAUAAGACAUAUUGAGUAUAAAAAAAUGCGUAAACUCAUCGAUCUACUAGUAAAGAUCAAGAAACUUAUGGAUUAGAUAUUGAAAUCAUUGGUAGGAAUUGUACUCACCAAAGCAGCAAGAUGUGCAUCUUGUAUGAUAUUUCCAUCUAUCUCUAACCGAGCAAUAGGAAACUCUGGAAGAUGUCCAGACUGCUUCCUCCCAAGUAAAUCUCCAGGUCCUCUCAUUACAAGAUCCAUAUUUGCGAGGUAAAAACCGUCAGAUGAUUUCUCAAGCACCUGCAAGCGACUUAGACUGCUGUCGGUUGAUCCCACCAAUAUACACUUGGACUUUUUUUCUCCACGUCCAACUCGUCCUCUAAGUUGAUGCAACUGAGCUAUUCCAAAUCUCUCAGCAUUCAUAACAACCAUCAUAGAUGCAUCUGGAAUAUCAACCCCAAUCUCAAUAACUUGCGUUGAAAGCAAGAUAUUGGUUUCUCCGGAUCUAAACAGGUUUAAUGCUUCACUUUUCUCAUCACCCUUCAUUUUUCCAUGUAAGAGACCGCAGUUGUACCCUAAAAACUUUUGAGAUAUAGUCUCAAGAUCAGCCGAAGCUGCACGAAGCUGAGGCAAUUGCUCGGAUUGUUCAAUGACCGGAUAAACAAGAUAUAUUUUACCCCCUGCUUCUAACUCAUCAAACAUCAUCUGUACUGGAAAUAGUGCUAUAGGAAGUUAGACAAAAACAUAUGUCGGAAACAAGAUCAAGCUUAUGACUGACCAGUACAAAUUGACUGUAUUCUUAUUUAGUAUAGUAACAAUGAUUAAAAUUUUGGACUUCAAAAGUCCCAUUUCUCCAGGUUAUAAUGACUACAAACAGCAAAGCUGAUUAUUCUGUCAAGAUGGAACAAGAGAGUUGUAGAUAUCACUAUUACCAACAUGAACUACCUAAAUAUCAUGCUUCAAAGUUCAAAGAAAUACAAAGUGUAAUUGCCUGAGACCAAGGAAAAGAAAAAGAUACGACCUGAUAGACCUUCUCAAAUCCAGGUUCAUUUCCUUCAAUCACAAAUGUUUCAACAGGAAUUCUUCCAGGAGGCAAAUCAGUGAUCUGUUGUUAAAAGAAAUCAAGCAAAGAAAAAGAGUACAUAGAAACAGGUGAUAAUUCUGAAGUUACAGCAACAAACUAAAACUUAUAGCAACCAAGUCACACAGUUGAACUGCCAAUAAUAUCAAGAAAACCAGGUAAAGAAGACUCAAAGAGCAAAAGGCCUUCCUUGCCCAAAUAUUUUCUAGUAUGCCUAACUAAAUCUUGUUAUGCCACCCCUUGAACACUUGCUAGAAGCUCAAAUGUAGGCAUAACAAAUCUUUGUAUGCAACAUGAUUCACAAAAAGAAUACUGCAACUUCCCAAAAGGUAUAUAAGUGAGCGGAAAAUGAGAGUUAAAAGUCAAAUUGAAAAUAUGGAGAUGGGGCUUUGGGCAAAAAAACAACUUAAAAUUUACUUCAACUCCAGUUCCAGUACUAAAAGCAUGUACUGAAAUCAGAAAUGAUCUCAGCUAACAGGCAGUAGCAUAUUGACACAAGGAUACAAACUCUUAACACACCUGUGUCAAAGACAUGUCUCCAUACAAAGCCAGAGCCAAAGACCUUGGAAUUGGAGUGGCCGACAUAGCUAGGAUAUGAGGAGCCAUAAUUACACUGUCCUUGGAGGAAUCGUCUGAGAUUUUCGAAGAGAUCUUGGAACUUAUUGAGUUAUAAUAUAACUGCAAGACCAUAGAGGCUUCAAUCAAUUCCCGGUUAAAGAAAGAAACCAUGUUAAACCAAACAUGUGCAUUAGUUCACAGGAUUCCUAUCCUUUUAAUAAAGUUUCAUCAAAUUUAAAUUAGUGCAUUGGCAACAAUGCAUGGAGAUUGUUACAGAUCCUUGAAAUUACAGACAAUCUUGUAUCUAAGUGUUAUAUCUAUCUACAUAAAAAAAGAUCACCAUUCACCAGUUUAAGCUUAUGCAUUAUAGCAUAACUGCAAAAUGAUCAUGUUAACUUUUUAAAAAAAAGGAAUCAGCAAAGCUGCACACUUAACUACAAAAUCUGGUUAGUUGUAGUCAAAAGCAAUUUCAACAUCAAAAUGUUUUUGAUAAGAUAUCAUAUUGAUUCAUGAAACUCACAAUCAAGCAUCGUCACAUAGAAGCAGUGUAAGUUUUCAUCAGUAAAUCAAGUUAUCAUUAAUAAAAUUUAACCAAUCAUCUAAGCAACAUAUAGCUUCAGUACUCCACAAAUAAAGUAUACUAUUAUAUCAUGUUCUGCACUAGUGCAAAGGAUUGAUCUCCACUUCAUUACAUGCAAAAAGAAAAUUAAUAACCUGACAUUCACAAAUUAAACAGUCAGAUGAAGAACGAGUGAACGAUCUGUAAUUAUUCCUAGUUUGGUUUUAUCUUGAUUGCAUAGUGGGAAAUCCUCAGCAACUUUUAGAUGCACAAUCACCAAUCAAGGCGAGGCAGGUCCAAGCAUAUUACCUUGCUGUUAAAUCGUCCUCUUUGGAUUACUCCAAAACGAUGUUGCUCAUCCACAACAGCGAUGCGUAAAGCCGAAAAUUCCACUUUUUCAGCGAUUAAGCUGUGAGUCCCAAUGACCAAAGAGAUAUCACCAGUUUGGAGACCCUGCCAACAGAUGGCAAACAGUAAAAUAAACUGAAAGGAGAAACGUAAAACCCUUGAUAAUAAAAGCAUGUCAGCUAUAGGUGAUUUUGUGAUAAUAAGGAGAAUUCUUCAGCUUAGUCCUUCUUUUGAGCUUUUAGGUAGGGGAUUCAUAUAACUUAACAUGAUACCCAGUGCAAGGAAAGGUGGAAAGGUCUUAAAUUCGAGUGACUUCGUUAUUGAUGAACAAAAUAUCUUUGGUAGGUGCCUGACUCAAGAAAAAGAAUCAGGCUUACACACGAUGUCACGAACCUAAGAAAAAUAAAAGUACAGUAUCUCCCUUCUAACAACUUAAAUUCUGAGACGAGACUGUUCAUAAUUCAACAAUAAUAAAUAAAUAGAUGAAAUUGGCUUCUUCUUUUUUUAUAGGUCCGAUAGCAAGAUGUUUUUCGAGAUAGAUGUAACUAUCAACCUUCAAAGGUUACACUAUACUCAUGAAAAAGUAGAAUAGAAGUUAGAAUUUAGUGCUUCAUGUUUUCUAAGAAUUAUCAUGCUUUAAAUAUUUAUAGGCGAAUACCAAGAAACUCAUGCUGAUUCCAGAAACCUUUUUGUCCUCUGACUCUUCAUUCUUGUGUUCUCCUUUAAGAACAUUUUACUACAGAAAAUUUAGACUAAAAUCACAUGUGUUUCUCUAUUUCACUACCUUUUAAGCCACACUGUGCUACUAGGUACCUUUUCACUCAAUUUGACGCCUACAUUUCAAAGUCAGCAAAGCAGCUUUUGCUUAAAGAUAUCCCAAUUCCCACAUCAAUGGUGGCCAAAACCAUUUAAUAAGGAAAAAUUGAAGUGCUGCCUUAAGAUUUCUUACCUGUCGAAUCAACCGUGAUUCCUUUGUAGAUGUUGAGCCAGUCAAUAAAGCAACUGAUAGUUUGCAUUCUGCCGCUUCCAUGUUUGCUAAUAAGAUUUGAAUUUGCUCAUAAUGCUGAAUAGCAAGCAACUCGGUUGGGACCAUAAAAGCUGCCUAAAGAUGAGAACUUAGCAAUUAUUACAUGUGGCACUGGGUAGUUAGAAGGCCGAAAGAGUUUAUAGCUCCAAGCUUGUAUUCUAGAAGGGAUGUAUGAAAACCAAAUUCUUUUUUUGGAUACUUGUACUAACAAUCAUAACAUAGCUAAUAAAACAAAGCAAAAUAUAGCCACAAAGAAAUCACAAGCUAAUGCAGAAAAAAAUAUUAAUGCUGACUAACCUGGUAACCUAAACUGAUAACCUCCAAACAUGCUAAAAAUGCAACCACAGUUUUCCCGCAUCCAACAUCACCCUGAAAAAGUGAGCAAAUUUGAAACACCCAUUCAAAUCCGCAAAAAAACUCUAGUCUUCCAAAAGAAAGUCAAGUAAUUCUAUUUCAGAAGCAAGAACAUCAUUUCUCAGUUGAUAUCUGAGAAAAAAAGUUAAAGAAAAACAUUAAUUGAGAGAUGGCGAGUAUAAUAUCCAACUCGACUGCCAAUUUUAAUUUGUCAAAAAACUUGAAAUUAAAAAGAAGACGGACUAGGAAAAUGUUGUUUUUAACUUAUGCAGAUGCCAUGUUAACCUUCCAAUAAAAUCAUUUGUGUCUUUUUAUAAUUAGGUAAACAGUUUCAUUUCAUAAAAUCAAAAGGCCAGUGUCUGUAUACAAGAAGUAUGCCAAAGAGUAAAAAAAUCUACAAAAAGAUAUGGUUCCCUACAAAAGACGCCCAAUCCUCUAUGCAUCCCCGAACUACAUGGGUGCACAAAAAAUAAAUGAGGGAUUGGAGAUUACUCAACUACCCAAAACUCAUUUCUACUCCUUCAAAAACCCUCAUAUUUCUCUCUUUCCAGUCUCCAGGUGAUCCACAUCAAAAUGAAUGAAUACCAAGAAUAAUGAAAAGUGUAAUAAGAAUGAAAAAUGUGAUGUUAGAAGAAAUGAAUGAAAACCAAAAAUAGUUUCCCCUCCCCACCCCAAAAAACAACUUGCAAGUAAACAGUAAAGCACAUCUCACUACCUGUAGUAGACGAUUCAUUGGGACAGGUUGCUUUAGAUCCCAAAUAAUUUCUGAAGCAGCUCGCAAUUGACUGGGUGUAAGAGAAUAUGGAAGAGCCUUCAGAAAUUUGUUAGUCAGCAUGGACCAUCCAUCUGUGUUUAUCAAAUUGAAUUCAGAUUUCCGAUACUUAUCCAGCAAUCCAUCUUUCUCUACUUUUGUACCAAGACCUUCAAGCAUUUGGAAUAACCGCCCAAGCUGCAAGAUAAUGAAAGCAGUGAGUGAUACUAACAGCAUCCCAAGCCACGAGAUCAUGGAAAAGCAUCCAUGUCUGUUUUUUGUAAGAACACAAGCAUCCAUGUCUCUUAUUGUGCGUCAAAAUCUGAAAGUCGGUUAUUGUGGCUCUAUUUUCAUGUGCAUAUUAUCAAAUUUCCCAGAAGCUAACUGACCGUGGUAAAGUCACAUUUGUUAUAAUCAACAUACAUGUUCAAGCAGAUCCCUGUCGAAUUGCAGGGUAUAUUUGGAAAAUGAAGCCUAGACUAAACAGAAGGCUAGAUGAUUUGAACUUCUAUCCUUAAUGGAAUAUGCACUGGAUAUUUGUACCAAGGAUAAACGCUGUUAGGAGAGUGGAAUAUGGAAAUUUGAUGUAUUAAUUCUGGGAGAUGGGGUAGAAGUGGGAAUAGUUAAUACUAUGACUGGCAGCAUGUUCAAUCUUGGAACAAUUUUGUUUUUCUUUCUUGAGUUGCAGUUCCUUACUUCGGUAAUAAAAUAGUUAGUUACAAAAAAAAUCAAGUUCAGAUGAGAGAGAGAGAACCUUCAUACCAAAAUCAUAAUGGGUAGCUCAAUUAGGUCCUACAGCACCUUGAAAGAGUUGAUUUUCUUAUAAGCAUACAGAAAGUGGGAACAGGGAUACUACUGGUCCCGCAAUAAAGGUAUUUGAUGGAAUCAGAGAUUUGUGCUGCAUGUUUCCUGUAGACAUCUGGUGCAAAAACAAUGCUCUUGCCAUGUUACCCAAGAAAGGAACUUCUUUUCCCGACUGAGUUUUACUUUUCUAAUAUCAAUGUUUGGGGAAGAUAUCUACUACUCAAAAAUCAAAAUACAGCAAGGGUUUGAAAACUGAAGUUCUUUAUUUUAAAGAGGUGUAAUCUACCUCCAUGCCUAUCCCUCCGUCUUACUAAGUUAAAUAAAAUUUAUAUUCCAUGGUCAUGAUGGAGGAGUAGCUGCUAGCAAACAAAGUCUUAUACAGGAUUUCAUUAUCAAACAUGGGAGAGAAGUUCUGGUGAUCUAUGAUAAACUAAGGGAGACUAACACCUUGUCAUGAGUCAUGACAAAGGCAUAGCUACCUCUGAAAAGGAUGAACCCAAAUAAAAAGUUGCAGUUAGACUGCAGGUACUAAUGAUGACAGGAAGGAUGAGAGGGCAAGAUGAUGCAGCUUAAGAGAGCAUGAUUCUUCCUAGUAGUGUUUCUGAAAGGAAGUAAUGUCUCUUUUUCUUCCGUCAUUGGUGGAAGGAUGGUGCAGAAACAAAAGCAUUUUGCUAUUAAAUAUCACAACAGAGUGAAAUCCUAAAGGACAAUGAUCUCAUUUUCUUCAGUCAUCGAGUGCCAGGGUGGUCAAGAAAACAAAAGCAUUUGUUUUUUGAAACUUAGAACAGCACGAUAUUCUAAAAAACGAACAAAGGAAGAACUGGAAUCUCUUGGAGCUUUGCAAGGUAUGGUUUUGGAGAAGAGAGUUGAAACCUCCCAUCAUCACAACAAAAUAAAGGCCCAAGAACGAUACUUCUUAAUACAAGAGUGUGACUGUACCAGCAUCAUGUGAAAUUGUGAAUAUAAUUGAAGAAUCAAAGUCAAAAAAGAAAAGAAAAGGAGGGGGGACAAAGUGCAGCCUAAAGUCCAGUUCACAAGAGCGGAGAAACUAAAUUCGGACGUUCUUUAUGCUAUUUUAGUUCUUCCUUUAUGUAGAAAUUGAAUUCAACAACUAAGAAGUUAUUUAGCUCCUUUAAUAUCCAAAACUAUGAUUACCUGAAGAUAAAAGAAUUCAUCAAAUACAAGCCUUUUGCGCGCUAACUCAGCCUCUUUUACACUUUUUGGCUGGUGAAUUCCUGCAUAUGCCUGUUUAUUGUACAGCCACAAGAGGAAAAAGAAACAAUCAGUCUCAAUAAAAAAGGAGAUUGGGAGUAAAAAGAGUUGUCGAUGACAUAGAAAUAAAUAAAAAUGUCUCUUCUUUAAUGAUUAAGCUUUUGAAUAAGGUGGUUAGCACAGAUCAUCAUACCAGAGCAAACAAAACUUCUGGGUUUGAGUCCCUCCAUCACCCAUUAACAAAACAUUUUUCAUGUGCUUGGCCCGAGAAAUGAAUCGUGCCCAAGAAAAAGAUUUUUAGCAGUCUCGUUAAUAUUCUUGCACAUGAUACAAGCAUCAGAAAAAGGAGACUGGAGAAUCUCCAAAUUACUAUUAGGAGAGUGGUACUAAAGGAGGAGUGGAGAAUAUGCCAGAAAAAUCCAUUGAGCCUGAACAAAGAGAGCUAAAUCCUGAAUUUUGUAAGUCAAUAGGUAAACUAAAGGAGAAAGUCUCAGCUCUAAUUUUCUAACACCACAAGCAUGAGAUGAUGAUUUAAGUGUGCAAAAUACUCAACCAUGAAUAAGAUCAUCCUUCACCAAUGGGAGAGGAAAUGUGAGCCACAAGAAAUAGAAAGCCUAUUAUAGAGAUCAGACAAUGAGAUCUUGAGGUGUCAGUAAGUAAAACAGGAGAUACUUCAUCAGCUUCUUGAUAGUUAUUCAAGAAAACUCGUGUAUUUUCUCAGGAAAAGAUUGAUUGUAUCACUACACCCUUAACCAAUUAACCCAACUUUCUCUCAGAAAAGAAAGGUCAAUUUUGUUCUAAAAUAAAGUAACUGAAAAAAGCACUAAGAAGUAUAUCAUAUAUUCUAUUUCUUAGUCUGUUGUACAGAAAAUAACAAGAAACCUCGUGUUCGUUUUUUCCUUAUCCUCCUCAGCUUUAUCAUUGUUUCACUCAAAAGAAUGCUACACAUCAUGUUUGUUUUCAGAAAAUAGGACAAGCAAUAAAUGUAUAUUCCUAAAAGAUCUCAUUUUCAACUGUCUCAGGGCCAUAGAAUUCCAUUGAAAUGAUACAAGCAACUAUUUCCAGCAAAAAAGACAUAAAAUCUCAACACCAUACACAUCAUUUCAUUUUACAGUAUACAUGGUGCAGUAUAAAAUAAUAGAAGACAACGUAAAUCUGACGAGCCAUAUGAGAGCAAUAACUUACGUCAUGAAGGCAUAGGAGUCCAAAAUCAUGAGCAAGAUCUUCAGGUAUAGGAUCAAUAUUGGAUGGAAGCACCUUUAAGGCUCUAUUUAAAUAUUAAAAGAAGGCAUAAAAUACUUGAGAAGAAUGAUACACAGUUAAAUCAAAAUUACAAAAAGCAAUAAACAAAUAAAUCAUGCAAGAUGAGACAAAACACAUUUAACAACUUACAGCUAGAAACUAUGUCCAUGUUUCAAUUAAGAAAACAAUUAAAUCUCAAGACAACAUAAUGAGAUCAGCUGGAAUAGUUGCUACAGGCAGACACUACAAGGAAGCUGGUCAGAAAAUAGAUGCUGACAACGACAAAUUUGGGACAUAGAAACUAGUUAAAAGAAGGCCGAGUCCACAUCUGAUACAUGAGAAUUGUUCAGCUAUGUACUUUCAUUACUCUUAUUUCAUCAACUUAUGUCAUGUUUACCUCCAAAAGAACAAGGAAGUUGUCAGACCACUACAAAGAGUAGAGUGCUAAUACUAGUGGUAUUACAGGCAUUAUUUAGUUACAUUUCAUCAGUUAGAAUAGUUCAGUUACACCAUUUGACAGAUGAAUAAGUAGCAAUGGUAAAUCUCAAUUCACAAUAUUCUUCAAGAUGUCCUUUGCACUUGUGUGCUCUAAGCUUGUCUUUAACUCUCCUGCACAUGCAGUCCAUGAAAAUUUUAGAGUUCUUUUAUUCCGAUAAAUGCUAUGCAACUUCAAAAAACUGAAGUAGGUUAAUGAGAUCAUCACGAUACAUGCAUAUGUUUUUCUUCCUGUUAUGUCAUGUAAUCUAUGAAAAUUUUAACGUCAUUUUACACAAAUCGAAUGCUUUUUGAGCAAUUUCAAAUAACUAAAAGCAAGUUCAUUGGAAUCAACAACAUACAUCAUGUGCCUUAAACAAAGUAGUCGUCCUUAUUUAGGCAAUGUCUUACUAAUAACAUACUACAUAAAUGCAUGUAAAACUAGAACAAAAUAAACAAAUGUGAGAAUGAACAUAAACAGAUAAGCUUCUCAUGACAAAAAUGGCAAGAAAUGGUUUUUAAAAUAUACCAUUUUGCACAUACUACUACAAAGUAGCUUGGGUUUGAGAUCUGACCUUGAAAUCACAUCCCUAAGGAAGUUAGAGCUUAAACCUCCUUUUGAAGGAUAUAUAGGAUACGGCCUCCCUUGUGCACAAAAUGAUGGAUCCUUUUCAUCUUGUAGCACAUCCAUAUUGUAUUCCCUCAUCUCGUAAUGAUUUUUUGACCUCAUAAUCCGCACCUUUCAAAUAGUAACAUACAGAUUACAAUAUGUUAGAAAUUAGAAAAACAAAAUAAGGCGCAGUGCCACAAUGAUAACUGACAUGUAUUCAUAACAACCAUAAACAACCGAUUGCUCCACAUAACGGCCUACAAUUAUGUCAUUAUGUGCAACCUAUAUAGAACCCAUGUGCUAAUCAACUAAGAAGACUCAGACAAUGAACAGGAAUAGUGAAUCUAAUCUAUCAUUUUUCUCAUUACUAAGGAGUAGGAAACUAAGAAAUCUAAAACUCUACCCCUUUUGACUUUCAAAACAAAUGCCUGGAUCUCUAAAGCUGCUAUUUGACACUUGAUAUUCAACUUGCAACCAUAAUAUGGAGUUACCCAUGAGAAAGUUCAUCAGAUCGCACACGACAUAACAAACAAAUUCUUAGCUUUGGUAACUCUCAGAAACUGCUAUAUCAUAUAUAUGAUAUAAGUAAAACAAGUAACCAACUGUUUCCAGAUCACGCUACAGACCAUAACAGAUCCAGUUUAGCUUAAAAGGUGACUUGUGCAAUAAGUAGUAAAAGUUUGUCAUCAUUAGCAAUAAAGUUAAAAAUUGCUAGAAGAUAAUAACAAAUUCAUCAAAUUCUUUCAAUGAUGGAUUAAAGAUUGACCAACUCACCUUACCACUGACACAUACAAUGUCUCCAACUUUUUGCUUCUCCUCUAGGCUCUUGAGAAAAGGUAGAUACGUGAAGCGAGUGCCUCGGAAAAACUUUUUUAAGUGUAAAAAUACUGUUUUCUUCCUUCCAUUAUCAGCUUUAUCACUCAUUAAAUCAGCACCACCAUCCCUAGAAGUUGAUGGUGAUUCAUUAUCUACAACAUCACAAGCAACAACAACCUCAAGGAAUGACAAAGAAUAACUAGCUCUUAUUCCCCUGCAUGGAAAAAUACAGAAGAAAAUUAUUCAGUUUAACAAAGAUUGUUUUUAAAUUUGAAGUUUGAAGUAUUGGCAGAUGUACACUAUUGUGAAAGCAUAUACACCAGUAAGAGCAAGAGAAUCUAACUUAUCCAUUAGGAGCUAUUUGCUAAGACCAUAUUACUGUUGCAGUGGGUACCAAUCAAUUAAUACUUCACUCAAAAUACAGGAACAACAGAUUCCAAGCAAACUUGAUAUUAUUCAGUAAACACCUAUUAGAAACAGCAGAUAGAUCCUAAACACCCUCUCAAGAAAAGGAAGACAACAACAACAACAGUAAGGUUUCAGACCAAAUAAGUCAUGGUCGACUAUAUGAAUCCUCACUUCUUAAUUUAAGCUCAACUCAUAUCAUCAUCAUAUCAAAUUAAAUAGAAAUGAAAAUUUUAGAUAUUUAAAAACAAUAGUAAUAUUAUUAUUAUUAUUAAUAAUAAUAAUAAUCUCUAACAAUUAUAAAAAUAUACAGAUCUUUUUCUCUAUUGUGCCUUAUCUAUAGCUACCCAGUCCCUUUUUAACAGUGUCACUCACCAAAGUUUCACACCUAUGGACUGGUGCAUUUGUAGGUCAAUGCAAGACAUGAUCAAACCAUCUCAAGCGACCUUAUUUCAUUUUAUCCUCAACAUGUGCUACUUGCACGGUUGCACCUUCGGGUGAAUGUAGUCAUUGUUAAUCAUAGGGUAUAUGUGAAAGGUGCAUGUUACAAGUCCAAAAUGAGGCUAUAUAACCAAAUCUGAGUGGAGAGGUAGAAGGGCAGGCCCAAUAUCCCGAAGUUUUGAAGUUGAUAAAAUGAUUUCUCAAUCCAAUAUAAAAUAGUGCUAACUAUUCCAUAUUCUAAAAAGAAAUAGAAAUAUCUUACAUUCAAAACAAUUAGAAUCAAUCAUGAACAGUUAGUCUUCUUGCAAAGCAUAAAAGGUAAGGUAAGAACUUCUGUAAUGGUAAUUCACCUUGAGGACUUGAUUUUUCCAAUAAAAAUCAAGUAUUGCCCAUCCUCGAUUCCAACCUGUGCAUUUUGCAGAUCAACAUAUGUCCGAGGAAAAUGCUGCAGCAAUUUGCGCGACUACACAUAUACCAGAUGAUUAUUAGAGUUGUGACUUUGAGAGCAAAAUUAUAGUAGGCUAAAUGGUUCCAAGUCUCACUGUGUGAAAGCCACAGUUUUCCAGCUGACGAGAGUGUCGUUUGCUGAGCCCAGGAAUAAAGCUAAUAGAUUGAUCAAGCAUUACUUCAACCAAUCCAUCAUUCUGUUUGACCCCAUGCUGAGGCAGGUUAGAAGGUUUAUCUACAGUGAACUGCAAGUCUUGUCUUGUUUCUGUCUCCAAAGAAUCAGGAAUAUAAGUGGUUGAAUCCAUAUUAGUAGCUCCCGAAUACAAAAUAUGCCAUGUUUCAUACAGUGAAUCAGGAUCGAUCAAUUGUUCACCCACAGAGCUAGACAGAAACUCUCUACAAAUUUUAGUGGCCCACAGCCCACUGUCUCCAUGGUUGGAUGCUGUCCCAUCGUAUAAUUCAACAGGUGGAGAAGAGCCCAACCUGAUUGAAGAGAAUUGUUUACACAUUAAGGAGAAAUCAAAGUCAACUGCUCCUCCAUCAGGAUGAAUAUCAGAUUGUUUUUCGCUUCCGUUGCCAUCAAGCAGGUCAUCUAAACCAUCAUAACCCAUCACCACAGAAGCCUGGGAGAAAUUCAAAUAACUAUCACACGAUGAGGGGAAAUUUCUUGGGAAGGGAGAUGCAUCAAAAACAACUUAAAAAACUACCAAGUUGGGGAACAUCUUUCCUUCUACAUUUCUUUUCUUUUUUUAUUGGAAAUGGUAAUGUUGUAUUCUUCCUUCUACAUUUCUGUUCAAGAAAACCACCACAGUUUCCCAAAGGAAAGACAAUAAAGUACAAACAAGUAACCAGAAUAUUUCAUACAAUUGGGUCGAACAAAAUUGAGGUAGCUCAAGUAUGAGAUAAGCAAACAGAAGGUAACACGUGUAAUCAUUUGAGGCACCUUUUGAAGAAAGAAGGGUUGCGGCAUGUCGAUGGCCAGAGUAAAAAUAGUAGAAUUCUGACAAAUCCUCUUACUACGGAUACAGAGGUGCAUUGACUUGAUGAUACUAAUUGACUAGGAUUUAGGCACCUUCUCCAUACACCCAAACAAACCCAUAAUAUGUUCAUUACACCAUUCAAAGUGAAUCAAAAUAAGAGAAAAGGCAUUUGCAAUUAUUAAGCAUACUACUCCCUUCGCAGCUCACCCGAGAUUCUAAGAAAUACAAUAAAAUGCAUCUAGAAUCCAUCAAAGAUCACAACUACAGAACAUCUACCAUCCAUCAUCUAGUUUAGCUAAAUUAAAUGGACAAAGGCCAGUCAAAUAGAGUAAAAGAUUAUAGAAACCUCACAAGCACAUUUCAAAGUAAUUCAAAGUAACUGAAGAAGUAUCCAUUGUUUAUGGGUCUAAAUGUUAUGCUUGACAUCUGUACUUGAGCUACCAUUUCCAGCCCCUCUAGUAUAUGUACAUAACUUUCUUUCUUUUUUGUAAUCCUCUAGUAUAUGAACAUAUAUGUACCACUCUUUAUUUUUAUUAAAAUUGGAGCAAGUUAUUUCCUCGUGCAAGAACUAUAUGCUCAGAUUUUCCCAAGAACAGAUUAUGUAGUAUUUCACCGGGAAAGUGGAUUUAAUUUUUGAACUUGGUAACUUUGUAUUAUAUCACAAAACAGUACGAACCUUAUAUACAAGUGUACUCCUGAUUUCACUUCUCUACGUCUAAAUUGAGUCUAACACAUCAAUAAUAGAGACAGUGUCAUUAGACUGAUUACACCAAAAGACUAAAAGUAAAAUGCAGUUUAGUUUAACUUUCUGCACAUUGUUCUCUAUGCUCUCAAAACAUCUUGAAUUCCUUUCUUUCCAAACAGCCCACCAGAUAGCCCCCGGGAUAAUUCUCCAUCUACCUCUGUCCUUAGCAUGUACACCUGCUUCCUCCCAGCAUAGUAAUGCCUCAGCCACCUUCCUGGGCAUUGUCCAGGAGAUGCCUUUGAGGCUUAGGAAUAUUCUCCACAGAUGAUGGGUGUACUUGCAAUGUAAAAAUAGAUGGUUAACAGUCUCAGAUGUUUCACCACGUAGGAAGCACCUGGAACACAAAGUUCUCCCCCUCUUCAUAACAUUGUCCAGUGUAAGGACUACUUCCUUAGCCAUUGACCAAACAAAAAAGGAGACUUUGUGAGAGAUUCUGCUCUUCCAUAUUUGCUUCCAAGGCCAACUUGAGCACUAUUGAUCUGUCUGCUCCAUCACCUUGUAGGAUUUGUUGACUUUGAACACUCCCUUGUCAUCUCCUGUCCACCACAAUUUAUCCUCACCUGGCUAUAGUCCAGUGAAAGUGUUCACAGUGUUUAAAAAUUCAGUAACUCUCACUAUUUCCCAAUCAUUAAGGUUUCUUCUGAAAAUGAAAUUUCAUCCUUGUGGUGACCAAAGAUCUGCUAUAGUGCUUUGUUGAAACAUGAUUAGGUUGUAGAUGUCUGGAAAGAGAUCUUCCAUGUUGCCUUUCUCAUGCCUAAUGUCCUUCCAAAAUCUGUUCUUACUUUCAUCCAUUACUUUUGCCUUUGAGUUACUUUUAACUUCAUUCCACAAACUUCUAAGCCUUGCUUUGCAAUUUCAAAUUCUUUAUUCCUAGACCUCCAUUUUCCUUGCUUGUCAUGACUUCUUCCCAUUUAACCAAAUGAAAACUUUUCUUUUCUUUGUUGCCUUGCCACAAAAAAUUCCUCCUGAUACGAUCCAACCUCUUAAUGACCCCUGGUGGGAUAGGAAACAGGGACAUCAUAUAGGUUGGCAAAGCAUCAAGUACUGAGUUAAUAAGGGUCAGUCUACCCCCCUUUGAUAAGUACUGAGACUUCCACUUGGCCAAUUUCUUCUCACACUUCUCAAUCACACUAUUCCAUAUGUCUAUGGACUUGGAUUUGGCCCCCAAAGGCAUUCCCAAGUAUAUAGUAGGCAGAACUCCUAUUUCACCACCCAGAAUUGAUGCUAAACAACUCAUGUUGUUUACUUCAUUUAUAGGAUACAUCAUACUCUUCCUCCAAUUGAUAUGCAAACCAAAAAUACCUUCAAAUAAGACCAGAAUCACUCUUAGAUACUUCAGUUGUUAUUCCUUAGCAUCGCAGAAAAUCAAGGUAUCAUCUGCUUAUUGCAAGUGUGUGACUUCUAGUCUCUCAGUACCUUCUCUGGAUUUAAUUGUUAAAGGUAUAAGUUUUAUAUUCAAACCAAACACUAUGGUUCAAGGAUAUAAAAAAAAAGAACGCCAGGAUGGGGGAACCAUUGAUUUCAGUACCAUGUAAGGGAGGUUUAUCUCUAUCCCCAAGCUUUUUAUGUGUCUUCAUUAGAGAAAUGCAAGUUAUCUACCUCCUAUUUGUGAUGACCUUCAUAGGGUUGCAAAAUCUCUUUCCAUUCUAAGUAGCGGAGACACUAGCCCCUUGCUCCUGCUAUAUAUCCUCUCCUGCUAUCCCUUUCCUUUCACCCAACUAACAUUAAAAAAGAUGGUAGGUAGGCAUUUAAUAGGACGUCCAAAUAAAUAGAGUAUCUCACUAUCUUGAAAUAUAUUGCUCCAUUGUGAGGGAAGAUUCCAACACUGAAUGUCAAAGACUAUUCAUUUAUGUAAUUUCAAGUGACAUGGUUUGAACAAGCUUGCCCAAGUCUUAAGAUACAUUAUGAUGAAAGGUUAUAAAACAUGAGAAUUGAUAUUUCAAGUUCUUAUAUUUUCCUUGUCUUCUACACUUGUUUUUCUCAUCCUACUGAUUGUUUUCUUCCUAUAAAGUCUUAAUUGUUUCCUCUUUAAUGCAAACUUGUUCCAAACUCGAUUAUUAUUCAGAUAGCAUGAAUGUUUUCGACAAAAAGGAAAGAAUACAAAAGGAAAAGAAACCAUCUUGAGGAGGAAGCUGGGGGAGUAACUAAAAAAACAUAAUACAUUUUCCCAUUCAUCAAGAAUUUAGACAGAUUUACUGAAGCAGCGUAAUACAUAUAUGUUAGCUGAGUCUAAUAAAAAAAAAAUAUGUAACCUUAUUUAAAAAUUUUGACCUAUCUUUGACACUAGCGCAGCCAUAAACAUCUACUUCCUUCAACAGUUUUCCCGCAAGCUUAUGCUUCGACCUAGAAAACACUGUCAACAUCUUGGAAUAAAGAAAAUUGUUUAACCUGCAUGAUAUUAGAGGGAUUAAAUAUAGUAUUCAAGUCAAAAAAUUGACUCAAUCAGGAAGAAUUCAUAUAACUAUAAAAUUAUCAGUACCUCAUAUCUUGACUCACAAAGUUCCUAUAUCCUUUCUGAGCUUCAAAUAUCAGUGCACUUCUCAAGCACUUCUCACUUGAACACUGGAAAAGGUUAAUGAGAUCAUAAGGAGAAGAGCAGAUGAUCGAAAACUUCUAAGAUUGACACGUUCCACAGAGGAAUUUGGGAAGAAGCUACAACCUACAUACCAGUAAAAUCCCACUAAGUGGUGUCUGGGGAAGGUAGAGUGUACACUGCAAUGUAUGAAAGAAAAUUCCAUAUUUUUCUCUCUCCUCUCUGAAAUGCUCUCGGCGUAGGAUCUGCUAGCGUGCGCCGUGGGGAGUAUGGCAGGAAAGAGACGGCAAGGGAGACCUAAGAAGCAAAGGGUAAUCGCAUUUGGGAGUAAGUAUGAAGGAAGUAGGAUCACAGAUGAAAGAUCUUCGCAAGCAGACUAUAGAAACAGCAACUAACAAUGGGAGUGCAAUAAGGUUGAUGAAUGAGCACAUUGGUAGCUCACAAUUGAUCCAACGGAGUAUCAACUGGAGCCCAGAGGCUACACGAGAGUUAUCAACUCCAGAUCUGGUGGUUUCAGCCACAAAGGCACCAAUGAAUACUGUUCCAUUACUGGUGAACACUGUUCCAUUGAGUACUGUAGAUCCAGUGGGAAGGCACCAUCUGAAGGGGCAUACAGGGGACUUGGAACCAGAUCCAGUGGGAAUGAAGAAGGCUAAUCCAUGGGUUAGCUUAUUUGCGGGAAAUCGAGUUGCCAGCAACGGUAUGUCCUUAAAUUAUAUUACACCUGAGCUAGUUAAUGGAAAACUGGUAGUCAAGCUGGAUGAAAAGGAGCAAGAGAAAGAAGAAGUGUAGUGGAAACACUCGCUGGUUUUGUAUGUUAUUGGGGAAAUGCCAGGAUAUAAUUAUAUGAAGUGACAUCUCACAAACAUGGGCUAAUGUGGCAAACCCUGACCUGUUUUACCAUGAUGAGGGCUAUUAUGUGGUGAAAUUUCAAUCUGAACCUGACUUGAAGGAGAUCUUAUUUGCAGGGCCAUACAGCAAAAACAAUAAGCCUAUGAUCUUAAAACAAUGGACACCCAAACUUGACUUCAAAUCAGAGUUCUUAACUGAUAUCCUCCUCUGGGUAACAUUUCCAAAGUUGCCAUUAAAUUGCUGGGGGUGUGGCUCUCUUAGUAGAAUUGCUAGUGCGAUAGGAAUUCCAAUAUUUGCUGAUGAAUGUACAACCAAACAAACAAGGAUAUCCUAUGCUCGAAUGCUUAUUGAGGUGGAUGUCACCAAGCCAAUCCCUACAGAGAUUACGGUCAUGGAUGCUCGUGGUCAAUCAUUCCAACAAGUGAUUGUAUUUGACUGGAAGCCUGAGUAUUGUGAAGGUUGUAUGAUGGUGGGACAUAACUGUCACAAGGAUAAGCCCAAGCAAGUUGGCCAACCAAGGACAAAACAAACUCAUCCACCAGUCAAACAGAAACAACCUUGGAUGGUUAGAAAAGUUCUUGGAGCAAAGGAUCACCUACAUGUACUGCAUCAUGCUAUUGAUGGCAAGAGAAGUAUGAUAAAGCAAGCCUAUAAUCAAAUGCUAGGUGAUUACCCAAAGGUCGAUUGGAGAGGUCUCAUAUGUCGCAACUUAACAAGACCUAAAGCCAUUUUUAUCUUAUGGCUGCAAAUCCAGAACAGACUCCUUACAACAGAUAAGUUGCUGAAAUGGAGAAUGCAAGUAGAUCCUAAAUGUGUUAUGUGUAAGCAGGAAGCUGAAACAAGAGACCACUUAUUUUUUGAGUGUGUAUUUGCCAACUCCUUAUGGAGGAGAUUACUCCAAUGGACUACCAUCAGUCAACCUCCAAGGUAGAAUGCACGCAGACCUUACCCCUACCUCGAGGAGGUAGAGAGGUUGUUUCCGUUUUGGGUAGAAGCUAAUGGUAAAACUAAAGAAGCUAACAACUCAAGCUAGGUUUAAGUUUUCAUACUCAUACCAUUAAGAUGUUAGGGUUCAAGCCACAAAACAAAGGUAAGGUUUUGUCCAUAAGCCUCAAUGUGAUAGUGGAAGAUUAGUGCCUCAGGCUGCCCUUUACUCAGAUAUGCAACAAUUGACAAAAGCAUAUACUGAUAGAAAAAGGGGAAACACAAAACCAACAGAAAAAAGGGCUUACCAUAGUAUUACGUGAUUGCACAAAAAGGGUUGAAACAGCCAUAGAUGCAGUAUAGACAUCAAAUUGAAACUGCUCUUCAAAAUGGAGUAAUCUCUGGUUUGGGAUUAAACUCUUCUUCCAUAACACUCACUCGGAACAGAGUUCACAGAGUACUGAAACAACAAAGCUUCUAUCUUUUUUUCAAUUUUUAGCUAGAAUUAUCGAAUUGACAUUUUAAAAAAAAAAGUAAAUAAAGAAAUUAUUUGUUAUUCUAAUGGUGGUUAGACCUUAAUUUAAUUUAGGUAAUUAAAUCUCAAUUUUCAAUUCAUAAUUAUGACAUGUGGCUACUAUCUAAGUAGGUACUUGGGAAAAUGGAGAUAUUGGUAAUGGAGUGGAGCCUCAUUCGAAACCGCAACUUGCAAGUCAUGUGGCGCCUUUCCAUUACUCAUCCUCUCUAUUUUCGAAAGUACCUACUUAGAUGACAGCCACAUGUCAUAAUUAAGAAUCAAAUAUUGAAAUUUAAUUACCUAAAUUAAGGUAAGGUCUAACCAUUAUUAGAAUAACAAAUAAUUGCUUUAUUUAUUCUUAAAAAAAUUAUCAAACUCACUAUUCUAACUAAAAAUUAUCUCAUAAAUUUAUUUUAAAAAUUCACUAUUUUCCAUUUGAGUAACGAGCUCAUCUUUUCAGAGUUCAGAGGGUACUGAAAGAAGAAGGCUUCUAUCAUUUUCCAAUUUAGUACGUAUAUAAUAUUUCAAAAUUAUUAAGAAAAAAAAUACUUUUAAGUUGUAAUUAACAUAUUAAAAAUUAGAGGUGCCAUUAUUUAUUCUAUUCUAUUUCCAAAUAAACUUGAAGUGAUAUGAAAAAAUAUUACUCACUCUAUUCCAUAUUAACAAAAUAAAUGGUGUACAUGACCGGGUUGGUUCGGGUUUUUCAAAUACCAAACCAAUCCAUUGUGUCGAAUUUUUAAAUUUAUAAAUCAAACCAAACUAAUAAACCUCGNNNNNNNNNNNNNNNNNNNNNNNNNNNNNNNNNNNNNNNNNNNNNNNNNNNNNNNNNNNNNNNNCUUCAAAUAUUUCUUUAGUCCAACCAAAAUACAAUUAUCUAAGGUGUUUCUUAAGAAAAUAACACAAAAUAUGAGAUGAGUACUGAUGACACUAAAAUAUUCAAUAUAAAAUAAUAUUGCAAAGUCAUAAUGAAAAUGAUCAUAAUUUAAAAAACUAAAUCAUGCUAAAAUAAGUUUAAUAAGUAUUAGUUACAUUACUAAAUAUUUAAGGAAAAUUAAAAUUAGAUUAUGUAUUUUAAUUGUCUAAACCAAUGUAAAACUAAAGAACAAAUAUUCAAUAUUAUUGUCAUUCUUAGUGUUGAAUUGAUUUUCUUUUUGCAUUAGUAUUAAUUUGAUUUUGAUUUAAGUUUUAUUAUAAUUAUCAACAUCUAUGAACUAUAAUCUUUAUUGGACCAUUCCGAAUUCUAAGUUUUAAACUUGAAAUAAUAUAUUAAAAGAUAAAAACUAUGAAAUAGUAUAAGAAAUAUUUUAAAAUUAUAUCAAAGUAAAUAUUUUUAUGUAUAAAAUAAAAUUUUAAAAUUACAUAUAUAAUGUCGGGUUGGUUUGGUCUCGGUUUGUUUUUCUUUUUAGUUAAAAACAAACCAACCCAAAUAUAGUAGGGUUUUUUUUUUCCAAUACCAAACCACUAGUCGGAUUGUUUUUUCGGUUUGACUCGAUUCACGGUUUGGUUCGGUUUUGUACACCCCUAAGUUAAAAUUUAUGAGACAAUACACACUUAUUAAAAAAACAUUUAAUGACAUAAUUUAAAUCAUACUUUCCAUUAUUAUUCUUUGAGAAAUCAUAAAUAUAACUUUGUAAAUAGUGCAAUUUAUCUUCUAGAAAAUAUCAAACUUCAUUAAAGAAAAGAACAAAUAUAAAAAAAAAAUUAAACAUCUAUCUUAAAUUUUGAACAAUUUAAUUAUUUGAAUAAUGAAAAAAACCCAAAAGUUCUACUAAUAUUUCAAAAACAAUGAAUGAAGGUAAAAAAAAAAUUAAGGAAAAAAAUGUUUAAAUACAAGACAAAAUUUUUAAAAGAAAAUUACGUGUAUUGACUUAAUUUAAAUACAAAAUAAAAAAAAAUAAAAAGAUUUCAAAAAUUAAAAAAAUAAUUACACUUGCAAAUACAAUCAACUUACCUAAUUGAAGAUGCCACAAUAUCGAAAAAAUAAAUUCAGGGAGAGGGUAAUAAGACCCUAAUUAACUUAAUGUGUGUCGCACUGAUGCAUUAUCCCCUUAAUUUAAUCAAACUAUCAACUAUAUUAUCCACGUAGCAUCAAGAAUGUGUAUUUUGGUGUAUGAUUAGUUCUUUCAAAGUCACCAAAAUGUAAAAAAAAAAAAGUGAUUGAGUUUUUUUUACCCACACAUUUUUUUUCUUAGGUAUAUUUAUGUAAUUAACUUUUCAGCUACAGAGCAUAUAUAUAUAUAUGCAACCUCUGUAAUUCAACAGAUUACAAGACUUAACGAUUUUUCCCACCCAAAAUUAUAACCGCUUCAUCUUCCACUACUUCCUUCCUCCUCCAAAUUUCCAGUUCUUUAAUCCAUACUUCAAAUUCCACUUUUUCAGCUUCAUUCCAACUUCAGAUGAACUAAUUACAAAUGGGGAGAAAAUUCCAUAAAGGAUUCCGGGAUAGGACUCCAAAAAGAAUAUCAUUUUCUGCAAAAAUUCCCAAAAAUAAUCCAAAAAUUGAUCAUGUUCUAGUGCUUUUUCUUCUAACGUUUUUUAUUUUGAUUCUUUCUUUCUAUCUUUGUUUAUGUUACCUUGAGUAGCGUUAUUUCUUUCCGUUUAUUUUUUCUUUUUACUCAAGAUUAUCAAAAAGUAGAUUCGAAAAGAAAUUUGUGCAGAAAAUCGACCUCAGGUAAGAUGAUUUAAUUGAUUGUGGUUAUUGUAUAAAGAAUCUUUCAAGAAACGGGAGAUUAAAGUGAUAUCGUCAACGCCUUAAAUUUUCAGUUUGAAGUUGUUAAGACAUUAGAAUGAAAUUGUGAAACUCUGCUUUUCAGGAUAUCGUCAGCGCCUUAUUUCUCUAAUUGUUGAGUUAAUUAAUGUGUUUUCUCUCGCAGUGAAUCCUUCAUACAACAGAGUAACCAUGGAUCUCUUACCUAAAGGUCUUAACAAAGGGAUUGCAAUUAUAGGAAUUGUCUGGUGCUUAGUUAAGUGUGAGAAUAAAGAAAGUAGAUAUGAAAUCCAAGAAGUUGUUGGAAAGGGGAGCUAUGGUGUUGUUGCAUCAGCAGUUGAUACUCAUACAGGAAAGAAGGUAGCUAUAAAGAAGAUCAACAAUGUUCUUGAGCAUGUCUCUGAAGCCACCCGUAUUCUUAGAGAAUUUAAGCUCCCAAGGUUGCUUCGACACCCAGACAUUGUAGAAAUAAAGCAUAUACUAUUACUUCCAUGUCCGAGAGAAUUCAAGGAUACAUAUGUUGUUUUCGAGUUGAUGGAGUGUGAACUUCAGCAUGUCAUUAAGGCCAACGGCAGUCUCACGCCUGAACAUUAUCAAUUUUUCUUGUAUCAGCUUCUUCAAGGUUUAAAAUAUAUGCAUACAGGUGGCUGUCCCUCAUUUUUCUUUCUGGUAUUUUAGUUAGAUUUCUAUUUUACAUAUUUUGUGGCUUAUUUCUAAUUUAUUGAUUCAACAGGAAACGUGUUCCAUCAAGAUUUGAAGCCAAAGAAAAUUUUAGCAAAUGCAUAUUGCAAGCUGAAACUUUGUGAUUUUGGGCAGCAUUUGGCGAUACUCCAAUGGUUCAUCAGGUCUAUAAAUUGGUGAAAUGGAUCAAGCCACAACCUUUGUUCUACAAACUAAACAGUGAUGGUAGUUGUAUUGAGGAGGGUAUGUGUGGGGCUGGUGGAGUUAUAAGGGAUAGUAACGGGCAUAUGAUUCUAGUGUUUUCAGUGUUCCAAGGGCCUGGUACAAGUAAUUGGGCGAAGGAGCCAGCAACAUUGUAUGCUUGACUUCUUCUUUUGAGCUACUGACGGAUUUUUGGUUAGUAACACUUGCUAGAAUGUAACAGUAGGUGCGGAUGUAUGAAAAACAAUAGACAGUUUGGCUACCAAGACCUGGCCAUUUCAUCUGUAUGCGUUCUAGAUUAGUUUUAUAUGCUUCGACAGCUUCAUCGAAUACAAUGAAUGAGAAUAGUUUUAUAAUUGUUCUUUGUCAAUUGUCAUCUCUUUUUAUGUUACAGAAAUGCAAGUUAUUUACCUCCUAUUUGUGAUGACUUUCAUAGGGUUGGAAAAUCUCUUUCCAUUCUAAGUAGCGGAGACAAAACCAUAUACUGAUAGAAAAAGGGGAAAUUCAAAACAAAACAAAACAAAAAGGGGUUUACCAUAGUAUUAGGUGAUUGCACAACAAAGGGUUGAAACAGCCAUGGAUGAAGUAUAGACAUCAAAUUGAAACUGCUCUUCAAAAUGGAGUAAUCUCUGGUUUGGGAUUAAACUCUUCUCCCAUAACACUCACUCGGAACAGAGUUCGCAGAGUACUGAAACAACAAAGCUUCUACAUCUUUUUUUCAAUUUUUAGCUAGAAUUAUCGAAUUGACAUUUUUUUAAAAGUAAAUAAAGAAAUUAUUGUAUUUGUUAUUCUGGUUAGACCUUAAUUUAGGUAAUUAAAUCUUAAUUUUCGAUUCUUAAUUAUGAUAUGUAGCUACCAUCUAAGUAGGUACUUAGGGAAAUGGAGAGGAUGAGUAAUGAAGAGGAGCCUCUUCCAAAAAGUAGAGCCGUCAAUAUGGGCUAGGCCCGUAGGGCCGGCCUGGCCUAACUCGUGAUUUGAUAGGGCUGAACUACGAUUUUUGGAGUCCAUUUAAGAAAAAGGCUUUUUAGCUCAGCCUGAAUAAGUCUGCCGAUUUGUGGGGCUUGAGAACUAUGGAUAGGGCCGGCCCGUGGGCUAAAUAAAAAUAAAAUAGAGUAUUAAAAAUUACAAGAGUCUAAACUCAAAAUCUAUUAAAAGUUUGAAAUAUUACAAUUUAAAUAUAAAUUAUAUUUAUAAAAUAUGUACUAUAUAAAAUAAAUUUUUCCUAAAAUCUCUAGGGAAUCACUAAAUAGGUCGUAACCUAGGGAAUGUUGUCAUAGUUUUUGUGUUUUAUUAUGAUCAUUGGAAAACAAUUAGGUUAAUAUUUCUAUUUAGCUAUUUAUGCUUUUUAGAAAUCAAAACUUAAUAAAUAUUAUAAAGAUAAUUUUAUUUGUUUGAUUUGAUUAACAAGUAGUAACACUAACACCAUGUAAUAUUGUCUUGUCGAUAUUUAUGAUAAUAUUUUUAAAUUAAAUUUUAAUUUAAAAAAUUAUAAAAAAAUUACUUCUAAAAAAAGAGGGCAGGCCCGGCAAAGUCCGUAGCCCACGUACUUAUGGGCUGGGCCGACCAUUUCCUGGCCCACACAAAAAAUGGGCUAGCCCGUAAAAUUUCAAAGCUUGUAUGGGUUAGCCCAGAUGGGGUGGGCCAGCCCAUAUUGACAGCUCUACCAAAAAGUAUGUAAGUUUUGGGUCGUGGGUCGCUCACGUGGACCGACCCAAGAAAUUGUCUGAUAAGAGAUAAGAACUACUUAUCUCUUAUUUGAAAAAGAAGGGAGAAACAGUUAUUAAAUUGAAAACUUCCCAACUCCUCUUAAUAAAAGGAUUUAUUCCUUUACAGUCAAAAAGAGACAGACAACGUACAAAAAAAAAACAACAAAAGAUAACACAAAUCAGAAGAAAAAAAAAUAACUUCUUAUGUCUGAGGAUAGACAUUUAGUUUGUGAAUCAAACUUUGCUUCCUAGUGAUUCAAUGCAAGACUUUGGAGCAAUCGACUUUCGCUGCGAAAUAUAAGGUAUACAAUUCGUCGAUUUCUUUCUAUAGAUCCUACAAAGUGGAAGUCAUAUAACUUACCAAAUGGAGUGACAAAUAUCAAGCAAAGAAAAAAAAAACGUGAGAAGAGAUAAAAAGUAAAAAAUUGUUAAAAUAAGUACUUUAAUUUUUUUUAAAAAUUGAAUUCAAUAUAAAUAAUCCUAAAUAUUUUUUAAAAAGGAUUCAUAAAAAUUGAACCAAUAGAGUUUAAAUUCUACAUAAAUUAAAGUCAACCAUUAAUUAAUAUAUUAAUAUCCCCUCUUUAAAUCUCCACCUAUUGUAAUUAAUAAAUAAACUUAGCUCAAUCAAAACGAACUCAAAUAUAAGUGAAAACACAUAAACAUUAUAUGUGAUCUUCACCUCGAGGUUGAGUUAUUAAACAGGCUUAACAAUGAAUUUAAGUAGAUUUAAUUUAUAAAUAAUUAUCACUAAAUACUAAGCAAAUAGUAACAGAAUAAAUUAAGAGAAACAUAGAAACAGAAGGGACUCCUCUUCAUUACUCAUUCUCUACAUUUCUCCAAGUACCUACUUAGAUAACAGUCACAUGUCAUAAUUAAGAAUCAAAUAUUAAAAUUUAAUUACCUAAAUUAAGGUCUAACCAUGAUUAGAAUAAUAAAUAGUUUCUUUAUUUAUUUUUAAAAAAUUAUCAAACUCAUUAUUCUAGUUAAAAAUUAUCUCAUAAAUUUAUUUUAAAAAUUCACUAUUUUUCAUUUGAGUACCGAGCUCAUCUUUUCAGAGUUCAGAAAGUACUGAAAGAAGAAGGCAUUUAUCAUUUUCCAAUUUAGUACGUACAUAAUAUUUAAAAAUUAUUAAGAUUACUUUUAAGUUGUAAUUAACAUAUUAAAAUUAGAGGUGCUAUUUAUUUAUUUUAUUUUAUUUACAAAUAAACUUGAAGUGAUAUGAAAAAAUAGUACUCACUUAAUUCCAUAUUAACAAAAUAUAUGAGACAAUACACACUUAUUAAAAAAAACAUUCAAUGACAUAAUUUAAAUCAUAUUUUUCAUUAUUAUCCUUUGUAAAAUCAUAAAUAUAACUGUGUAAGUAGUACAAUUUAUCUUCUAGAAAAUAUCAAAUUAAACUUCAUUACAGAAAAGGAUAAAUAUGAAUGAAAAUAUUAAAAUAUCUAUCUUAAAUUUUAAACAAUUUAAUUAUUUAAACAAUGAAAAUAGGCCCAAAAAUUAUGCUAAUAUGAAAUAGUCAAAUAAAGGGAAUACUUUACUCAUAUUAUUUUGUUGCUGGAGAGGCAAAAAGAGGGGGGGGGGGGGGGGGGGUAAAAAAGGGAAAGGUCACACGUAGUUUAUCGUAUACAAACUACAAACUUAUUCCAUAGAGGAAAGGGAAAAGAAAGAGAGAGGAAAAAAAAGAAAAAGACAUGAGGAAAUAAAAAGAAGAAAGAAAAAAAUACUUAGUUUGACUUAUAAAGAGUUUAAAAAAUAAAAUAAAAGAUUUUUUAAUUUUGUAGUCCUAAAUUAAAGUUAUAUCAAAUAUACAAAAAUGCACUUUAAUUUUAUAAUCUUAAACAUGUCACGUGUAAAAAGCUGAUAUUAAAUUGUUGCCAAAAGAGGAACCUGUUUUUUAAACCAAAAGAGUAUCAAAUUAGGUAUAGUGGUAUUUACUUUUCCUAGUUACUAUCAAAUUAGGAUUUUUCAGACCGUCUAGGAUUAUAUUUGUUGCUCUCUUUAUAAAUACAUUCAUAAGUACUAGCCUAGAUUUUAUAACUAUACCUUAGCUUAUAUUUUAAUCGCAACCAAAUAAUGGUCCUUAGAAGCAUAUGGCAAGAAGAGACCCUCGUAGAUAUCAUGGACAUGAUACUGAAAAGAGUUGGCAUUGGUGACUAUGUACGUAUGACUCUCGUUUGCAAGUCAUGGAGAUCAAUGCUUGCUCAUCUCAAGCCAUCACAUCAUCUUACCGCCCCUUGGCUUUUACAGAUAAAAGAUUGCGUGUAUAACGAUCAUAUAGGAUUCAACUUCUAUAGUUUGUGUGAGGGUCGUUUUUAUUCUUUCAAAUUGCCUACUCAUAUCUUGAAUAAAUAUCCUAAGGUAUCUCAUGGUGUUACGUUCUGUUGUGCAACUUCUAAUGGUUGGUUGGUUCUUGUUGCUGGACCGGACCAUAACCCUGAUAUGUUCCUUUUUGACCCUAUUUCAGAAAUUGAUGUCAGACUCCCUCCAUUGACGACAAUACCAUUCUCCUCAACAUAUAUUGAGGAGCAUUGUAGAAUAGCAUGCAUGAUCUAUACGGUUUACGUAUUUUCAAUCUCGGAUGAUCCGACUAGAAAUCUUAUAACUGUCACGGUUUUUGGGGAUGUACUGAAUGAUGAAGAAAUCUUGGCAUUCUGUAAUUGUGAUAUUGGAGUCAAAGAAGAAGAGAGAUCGUGGAAGAUAUUUGAUGCAGAUGGAGCAAUUAGCGGCUAUAAUACUGAGAGCAUGUUAUUUCAUGAUGGUGUGUUAUACAUUCUUAUUUCAAAUAAGGAUUAUGAUGAUUUUAACAAUUUUAAGUCAAGUCAGGAUGAUAAGAGAAUCGGUGACGAAAUCAAUCAUGUUAUCAUUCUCAAGACCGACUGUUGUGAAGUGAAGAUGAAAAUAAUUGAUAUAGUAAAACACAACACAGCUCCUCAUAUUCGGCCUUGUGAUAAUAAGCUUCGCUUUAUUGCUUAUUCUGGCCUAAGAUAUGUGUAUUUGGCUAAGUCAAUUACGGGGGAGUUGCUUAUAAUUUGGAACAACACAGAUCCGUUGUCUGAACAUGAGGAUGAUUAUGAACUUCAUAUCUAUCAUACUAGUAAAUUAACAAUCGAGCGAUAUCAAGGUAUCUCUAAAACAAGUAAGGAUUUUGAAUCUAUCACUAGUUUGGAUGAUCAAGCACUAUUUGUGUCGCCAAAUAGCAACUCUUUCUCAAUUCCUGCAAGAAGUGAUCGAAAUGGAUGUCAAGCAAAUUGCAUCUAUUUUACUAUGGAUGGCAUUGAUGCUCUCUACAAGAAAUCUUUAACUCUUUAUCGUCAAUCGGGUAUUUACUUAAUGCAAGAAGAAAGGAUCAAACGACCUUUUCCUAAUCCACCAUUGUGGUUUCAACCACAACUUCGCAAUUAAAACUUUGUAAUAUAAUUGGUACGUUUCCUUGUUUUCUUUUUCCUUCUUUCUUUGCGAUUAUUUAGACAACUCGCAACCUUCGGGUUGGAAGUGAGGGGCGCUUACCCUCUCGUCAAAAUAUUAAGAAAAAAUCGUGUCUUUAAGUUUGUAUUCAAGAUGGUGUGAUACUUAUUUUAUACAUAGUUACUAAUUUAGUGUGGAACAUAAAUAUAUGUAUAAAAAUUUGUAAAUGGCAUCUAUUUUACUGUGGAUGUGCUUGAUACUCUCCACAAGAAAUCUCCAGCCCUUUAUCGUCAAUCGGGUAUUAAUUUAUUGUAUGCAAGAAGGAAGGAUCAAACGACUUUUUCCUAAUCCACCAAUGUGGUUUCAACCACGACUUAGCAAUUAAACAACCACAUUCAUUUUCGUUGCUUAGUAGUGAUUUCAUAUGUAUUAUUAUACAUGUUAUUCAAGUUUUGGAUGUUCAAAUUAUACUUAAGUUAGUUAUAAGUUAAUACAUAUGUUUUAUAAUGUGCCUUCCGGUCUUAGUAACCUAAGUUGAUGGCUGAAAGUUAACUUAGUUUUCCCUUACUUAUAUUAAGUUGUCCCCUGAAUCUAAUAUCUUUUAGGUCUUAUCUAUUUUUUCUUCCUAAAAUCAUAUAUUUAUCCUAACUUUCAUAACUAAACAUUUUAAGUCGCUACUUUGAUAGUAUUUCUUGUCUUUUUUUAGUGGAGAUCUACUCGAUUGCCUAUUGAAGAUAGACCCCUAUCUAUGCUAACUAUGUUUGUUUGGUACGUUUAUUACAUCAUGUUUGUCAUCCUACUGUAAUUUAUGGUUAUUUCCUACAUAAAAAUAUGGACAUGGAUGUUUUUUACAGCAAUCAUGAAUUUUUUUUUAUCAUCACUAUAUAGAAAGAAAGAAAAAAAAAUUGUGCUUUGAGUUCACAACACACAGAAGACCAUAUUAUAGUCUUGACAAUUGCCCCUAAUAAGUUGAUAAGGAUAUCCAUCACUGGCAUACGAACAAAUCAAUUAUGUUUAUAUGUUUAUUAUGGAGUAACUAACAACCGAAAAAGUAGUUUCUGUUUAUCUUCAAUUACUGUCAAUUUUUUUGCCAGCCCCUUAUCCUUCCAUUGACUUAUCUUUGAGCGAUCGGCUACAACGAUUUACAACUAACAUCACAAUAUAAUGGUAAAAACGAUCCAAACAAUAAACCACCUUCUUCUUUUUUUAACAAGCGUGUUACUAUAAACAAAAAUCCAAAAUAGACUCGUAUAGUUUCACUGAGUUACUAAAUUAGAAUCUACACUACGGAGUAGUAAUUAAUUAGUCUAAAUAAUUUUAAUCUGAUAAUUUAAGACAUCGUUACAUUAUGAUAUGUAUACGAGUAAAUAGUAAUAGUUAUAACUUAUCUAAAAGAAAUUAAUAAUAAAAAUUAGAAAUCACUACUCUUUUAAUAUAUUUUUUUGCGACGUCUUCUUAACAAAUUCACCAAAUAUUUGGACAUCCAUGUAUAUGUAUCCAGUACCUUAUGUUGAAUGAAUUUUGGGAACUCGCCGCCAUCUUCAAAAUUUAGCAUAGUUAAAAAUAUUAGAGUUUUAGCCCUAAUUUUUUUUUACCUUAUUUGAGCUUUACUUCUUUUCUUGUAGGAAAGUCAAAACAUCAUUAUAAAUGUUUUACUUUUCGAAAUUGAAGAAUACAACAACAUCCACAAUAUAGUCGUUUAAGAGUUUUGUUUAGGGAGAGAUUUUCUCCCUAAUUAAGAUGUUUAUGUUUUUCAAUAUAAGUUUUAUAAUAUGUAGGUCAAUUGACCAAAUCAUAUGCGUAAUAUUUUGAUUUUUUAGUAUAGUUCUUUAUCAUAUGAUUUUUUAGUAUAGUGAUGUGAGACCAAAAAUAUAUAUUUUUAAUCAUUAUUUGUGUCACAUUCAUAAUUUGUAUUUGUCUUUUUUGAGCGUAAAUUUUAUGAAUUGUGCUAAAUAAUUAAUGUUUUGCCUUGAUUUUCGCUUACACAAAUGCAGUUGGGUUGAUACUGCAAUCUUCUUAGUUUCUUGUUGUCUAACUCGAGAGGAGAAAAUACUCACGGAAUUUGUUGUACGUUCCUCCAAGCAGUCACUAUAUACUCGAGUUAUUAGGCUCCUCUUGUUUGGUCUAGUCCCGUAAAGCAAGGCUUACUUCGUUAUAUAUUAUUGUCUUAAUUUGAUCUCUACUUUUGGAGGUGGAAAUUUUGUGGAGGAGAGUUUAUAGCAGUACUAUUUGAACGUCCAGGUGCGGAGUUUCCUAUUAGGCAAGUACUCUCUGCAUGUGCGAAUUGGGACGUUGGAACUUACAUUUGUUGUCAUAUGGGGACAUGCACAGAUUUCCAUUUGGAAUAUGAAGUCAUACAAUGGAUGGUUCCUUUCUGUGGACAAUUGGCUCGACACUGGGCAGGAUGAUUUAGGUGGUGCGUACAUUGCUAAAUCAUAAUGCCCAGUGUCGAGCCAAUUGUCCACAGAACUACAAGAGCCUUGCAAGUAAAGGUUCAUAUGCUAAUGAACCUUUACCUACUGCAGAUCAAAUGCAUAUGAACUAUUGGAAGCAGUUGCUAAAAGACGUAUAGGCUACAUUGCAAAGUUGUAUGAUUGGGGAGAUAUUAUGAUAUAUACUGCUAUACUUACGAUUCUAACAUCGGUUCAAGUGACAUCUUACAUGGUAGCACUUGUUGAUCGUUACUAUGACUCACUGACUAGAAAUCUUAUUAAUUAGCUCUACUCUACAAGAUAGUGUUAAUUUUAGCAAUUCCAGGGAACCCAAGAUUCUUGUUAGUUGUAAUUAUUUCUUCAUUUUUUUUUUUUAUAGAUUACGUUACAAAUCGUAGUGGAACUUCAUUCUUUUUAUUUAUUCUUAUGAAUAGAAGUCAAGGGCGAAUUCGCAGUCAGGCUCCAGUAUACCAAACACAGGAUGAAAAACUAAAAAGAAAACGUAUAUUUUUUCUGAGUUUCACCCAUUAACAUUAUGAAGUUUAUCAGUUCUCAUAAAAGCAAAAUGUAAUGGUGUUUGGAGGCGAAUUUGUGAACGAAAGGGUUUAAAGUGGGAAAUUGUGAACAAAAUUCACUUUCAGAAGCAAAAACCCAUUUUCAGAGCUAUAGUUCAUAAGCUCUCCCCUGUUUUAAGGCUCCUCAUUUGCAAAGUCACAACUCUUCAUUUUUUUUUAGAGACAUCAAUAUAUUUUAAAAAAAAGUUAUGGCAACAAAAGUUCUUGACAAACAUGUAUGCAUACCAAAAGAUUGUUAAUACAAAAAGAUACUAAAUAAAAUACUUGAAAAGAUUAUGAAAAAUUGAUAUUUCAUUGAGAAAAACACAUGUAUAAAGAGGGACGAAAGUUGAGCAUGACUUGUUUUUGUGGAAUAUAGCAAAAUAAACAGAGCAUUGAAAUAAACCUUUUGUAAUAACUCUGCACUGAUUUGAGCUGUUAACAAAGCUCAAGAAUUCUGAUCACUGUACUCUGUAGAAGCUUGUAAUUUCUUCCGUGAAAGUUGUUAGAAUCUUCGACCCUACCUGAAUCUUCAUUGCAAUAACUCUCUACUUUGUAGAAGCUUGUAAUUUCUUUUCGUGAAAGUUGAUAGAAUCCUCAACCCAAAAUACUACCUAGAAUCUUCAUCACUAAUAAAAGGGGGGAAAUCGAGCCAAGAACACACAAAUGUAAAGGAGAAAAAUCAGCCCAAACAAGACAAGAAAAGUAAAACCCGCCAUUGCAGCUACAUCAUUGUUUACUGGUGCGUUCAAAGAUGAACGACUUGAGAUCUUCAUCUUCUUUGAAGAUGCUUUCAUGGUGGCACAAUGCACCUUCUUCGUUUUACCGGCCAUUUUUGCAGAACAAAUUUUCUUUUCUGUUUUUUUUUUUCGUUUUGGGAAUUGGAGGGAGUUAACUGCUUUUGAUAGUAAUAUAUAUAUAAUAGAGUUAUCACCCUUAAAGCUUUGUACAUUUAAUAAAAUGCACACCUAAAUUAUUAAUUACCCCCUCAAACAUUAUUUUUUGGAACUAUUUACCCCUAAUUUAUGAGAAGUUUUAAUUAUCCCCUUAAAUAUGAAUUUUUGGUACUAUGUAUCCCUAAAUAUGCCACAUGGCGUAAAAAAAAUUAUUAUGUCCCAAUUUAGAUGACUAUCUUAAGAGAAAUGACAUAUUCCUCUGAUUGUAUAUUUUCCAUUUUAUUUUUAAUGAAACUGAAAAUUAAAUUGGGCUCAUCAUUGAAAAUUUUCUUAAAAUGGGUAACGGCUGGAAUGAGUAAAGAUUAAAUCAAAUUCAAAUUAUUUUAGUUCAAUCCUUAGAAUUCUGACGGAUUGAACGAGUUACCGUUACUUGGGUUCAUGUUUUACACCCCUAAUUUUAUUUAUGAGGAACUUUCGCAAACAACCACUAUAAUAAACUUAAUUAUACUCCAUAGCUAUAGUUUGCAUAUUUACUGGUUGUAGCUAUAGUUUAAGCUGUCUCGUUUGUAUAAUUCGCAGAUUUGUAUAAUUUGCGGGUAUAUUUGUAUAAUUCAAUUAUUUUUAAACUCGAAAUAACGAAUUUAUACCAUUACAAACAUCAAAAGUGUAAACAAUUAUACAGAAGUUAUACAAAUUAUAUUAUACAAAAUCUGAAUUAUACAAACGUGCGAAUUAUAGAAGACUAAAAAGCUGAGCCGCGUAAUUAUAGCUAAAAGUAGAUCGCGAAUUGUAAUUAAGGCAAACUAUAGCGCUAUGUUAAGUAAUUAACUAGUAUAUGUUUGCCUAUACGCGUAAUUUUCCCUUUUAUUUAAUUAUUUGUCUUCACUUCAAUUUAGUCUCCACUCCUAUUCAUAUGAUCUGGUGAUCUUACGUUCUUUUAAUUGUUGUGGUAGGAGUUUAAUUCUUGGUUUAUUUUCGUUUGUGUCAUUGUUUUAGUAUAAGUGGAUAGGGGUGUACAUGGGUGGAUUGGUUCUAGUUUUUCAUAUAUCAAAUCAAAUUAUUUUUGUCAGAUUUUUAAACUUAUAAAUCAAAUUAAACUAGUAAAAUUCGGGUUUUUUUUAAUCUGUUCGAUAAAGUAUUUCUACAAACAUAUAACUAACUUGUGCUUCAAAUAUUUCUUUAGAUAAAUAUUUUUGUAUACUUAUACAUAAAAAUAUGUAUACGUAUAUGUAACUGUAUUCUUGUAUAUAUGUUUUUUUGUUGUGAUAUUCAGUCGUAUAUGUAUAUGUGUAUUAUAUGUAUUUAAAUAUGUAUAUGUAUAUGUAAUAUUUUUGUAUUCAAAUAGAUUUAUAUAAAAAUCUCUCUCUCGCUUUAUACAAACACAAAUUACACAUUGUAUUUUGUAUAAUUCAUGUUUAUAUAAACCGAGAAAGAGAGAAAGGCAAAAGAGAAUUGAAUAGGAGAAGAUUUGUAUGGUAUAAUUAUAAGUGUAUAGGACAAAGAUAUAUGUGUGUAAUGACCCUCCAGGUCAUUUUUAUAACUUGAAAAGUUGACUUUGGUCAACUUUCUUGGAAGUCGUGCUCAGAUGAAAAUUCUGACAGCUAAUUUAGCUUCGGAAGAUCGAUUUUGGUCUAGAACGACCCUUUGUUCACUUCCCAAGGCUUUAGAUGGCAGUUGUGGAAUCUGACUCAAAUGAUACUGGGUGUGGGACCCACUUUUCAUCGAAGCAAUCUCCAAAAUGGAAAUUCCGCCUUCACCGUUGAGUCCGGAAUAUUGUUUCCAAUCAGAUUCCAUAUAUGGUUUGUAUUUUUCCGACUCCGAACGAGUCCGAAACAUCGAAAUUUAAGUUUGAAGGGUUGUAGAAUUUUGACGCGGCGGAGGGAAAUCUGGAAAUUUCCAGAUUUUAGGACGAUUUUCGUCCAUUUUUUUCCCUCAACUUCAACAUAAGAUUUUCUCCUUCAUUUUGAGUCAAAAUUAGGUGCUUCAAAAAGGCUAACUUCAAGAGAAUUUCGUGGGGAAUAUAGCGGUGAUCUCAGAAACGCGAGGGGAGGUUUCAUUUGAGGUAAGAAAUCGAUUUUUAGCCACUGCCAGGGUGAUUUCCGGAUUGAAUUGUUGUUGAAUUUUGAAAUGUGAGAUCUUGAUCAUCGUAAGUCCGUUUUAAGUCAUUCUUGGGGCUAACUUGUAAAGUUUUUCGCAAGGAUCGUCGUGGUAUAAUCUGUUUGGGUUGAAAGGGUUUCGUUUUUCCGAAAAUUGGUGAUCAAGGGGCUGCCCUUUUUAAUUAUUGUGGCUGAUUUGCGGUGUUGUAGGCAUCUGUUUGUGCUAAAAUUUUGGGAUAUUAGUUUAGUAAGGUAGUUGGGACGUUUCCACGGAUUCGAUUUUGAGAUUCUAAGUGUGGGCCCCACAAUCCCGUUUUAGACCCGAUUUUGGGUCCGUCUCCGAAAAAUAUAAUUUUAGUGUCAAUAUAUUCGUAAUGACAAGGUGAUUAACCUUUUGUUAGAGGGGAAGCAUUUGGAGACCGUUCGGAGAGGAAAAGAUCCGGUACCGUGAGCUGGAGCACGCGUGAUCGGCUUUCAGGUAGGCUAUGGCUUUCUCUCGUGAGAUUGAGCAUGUUUAGGCAAUUGUUAUUGAUUUGCUUGAGUAUGGAGGGGUUCGGGUGUCGAGCAUGCUAAAUUUCUAUAAUUCCUGCCUUAGACCUUAUUUCGGGAAAGUGUUGGAUUAUGACAGCAUGUCUCUUAAUAUUAUUGAAUAUCCAUAUCUUGUGGUGUAUAUGAUAAUAUUGAUUUGAAGUAUGUUUGGCCUUAGUCUAGGCUUAGACUAGUGUUGCCAUAGACUUGCGAGAUUUCGGAUGUUGUUGGGCAGUAGAACUUUUUCCGACGUCGUUUCGGACGGUCAGCUCCUUGUAGACUGAUAUAGCAGACUUGAGUCUGAUAGUCUGAGCCUUAGCUAGGCGGUAACUCAGCUUAUGACCUUGUAUCCAUAAUGCCCUGUUUUUCUAUCGGCUAUAGUACCCGGUUAAAGUCCGUGGUCUAGCUUACUCACUAUUGGAUACUUCCUCGGCGAUUUGGGGUAUAUGAGAGUUGGACUGAAAUGAUUAUUUAUGGUAAUCGGUUUGGUGAUAUUUCCCGCGACGUAUGGUUGGAUAUUGAUUCUUAGCUACAGUACCCGGUUAAAGUCCGUGGUCCAGCUUACUUAUCUCCAGGCUUAGCUACAGUACCCGGUUAGAGUCCGUGGUCCAGCUUACCUGUGAUCUGGUUUUAGCUACAGUACCCAGUUAGAGUCCGUGGUCCAGCCCAUCCGUGCCCGACCCUUGGCUACAGCACCCGGUUCGAGUCCGUGGUCCAGCUUGCACGUGGUGUAUUCCCAAUUCCUCACUAAAGCUUCAGUUUAGUCUUGAUUACUCUCAUCUGUAGGUUGAGGUUUUGGAGGUUGAAGAGAUUCCGGUUAAAGUCCGGGACGUAAUGAGAUCUUGGAAUAUGAUUGGGAAUGGUUCAGUUAAAAGUCCGGAAAUUGGUAAUAUUGUGAUAGACCUUCUAGCUCCAUUAUUUUACUUCAACUGNNNNNNNNNNNNNNNNNNNNNNNNNNNNNNNNNNNNNNNNNNNNNNNNNNNNNNNNNNNNNNNNNNNNNNNNNNNNNNNNNNNNNNNNNNNNNNNNNNNNNNNNNNNNNNNNNNNNNNNNNNNNNNNNNNNNNNNNNNNNNNNNNNNNNNNNNNNNNNNNNNNNNNNNNNNNNNNNNNNNNNNNNNNNNNNNNNNNNNNNNNNNNNNNNNNNNNNNNNNNNNNNNNNNNNNNNNNNNNNNNNNNNNNNNNNNNNNNNNNNNNNNNNNNNNNNNNNNNNNNNNNNNNNNNGCAUCUAUUUCGUGAUGCAGGUCCGGGCACUAGUAGCCAGCGUUGAUCGAGCUUGGAGUAGACUUAUCCGGAGACGGGGGUGAGCACACGGCGUUUUGUACUAUUUCAGUCUCCAUCUGUAUAUAUAGACUUGUCUUUUUCCUUUCGAGGCAGUCCAGUCUUUGUUGUCCAGUUUUGGGACUUAUACUCAUUUUGUAGUAGCUCUGUACUGGUGACUUCCAGGUUCUGGGAGGGAUCUUUAUUUGUAUAUAUGUUUUUGGUUUGAUUCCGC